rnacentral:lncRNA from 1 species
AAAAAAAAAAAAAAAAAGUUAAUUACUACUUAUUAAGCAUAUAAAUUAAUAGAAGGGGGACCAACGAAAAAAUAUAAGUAGAUAAUGAAGCAGAAUCCCACCUUGAUAAAUCCAAGUUCCUGAAAAAGAAGCCAUCUUAAUCAUUUAACUAGCUACGCAGCUCAUAAGAAUCUACGAAGAAAAAUAGCCUGUUCGGUGGGUAUUAGUGUUAUUCUAUGGAAUCUGAAACCCUUUAAUGUCAACUAUUCAGGUAAAAGGAGCAUGAAAGGAUUGAGAUAACGAAGACACUAUCCUGGAAUCAAAGGUUUGAAUUUUGAGGAUGAGGGUUUAAGGUAGGGGACAUGAUUUGGUAAAUGGAGUGGGAACUGGGCAGAGUGAGAGUGAUAGUAAGAGCGAGAAGUGUUUCUGAAAAUGGAUAAGGGGUGAAAAAUGAAUUUGAGAAAAGUUUGUUGUGUUUGUGUUAAAUCCUAUUGAGGUUUGAGGUUUGCUAUUAGAUGAGUCAGUAUCUAUAUUUUUUUAUUAUAUUAAAACUUUUUUUAGUUUUAUUAAAAUUAAUUAUUUUUUUUAAUAUUAGUUAAAUGAUUAAAUUGAUAAUUUAAUAUUAUAACGUAAAACUCAUUCAAAAUAAAUUUUAUUAUCUAAUUAGAAUAAAAUCUUAUUUUUAGUAUAAGUUAGUUUUAAUGUUUAAUUAAAAUAAAUAUUUUUUUACUUAUUCAUAUUUAUUAUUUAUAAGAUAAUUUCAUUUCGAAAAAAUAAAUUUAUUAUAAUUUUUUUAUUAAUAUUUGACUUGUUAAUUUGGUGUUUAGAUUAAUUUCGCUACAUUAAGAUAUGAUUAUUUAAUUUAAUUUUUAUUUUUAAUACAAUUUAAUUAUAAUAUAUAUAAUAAAAAUAACAGUAUAGUGAUACUUUUAACUAUAAAUAUUUAUUUUAUAUUAAUAACUAAAAUCAGAUUAUAUAGCAAUUUAAUAAUAUUAUUAUAAAUAUAAAUAGUUUUAAAAUAUUUAAAUUUAUUUGAAUUAAAUUAUAUAAAAAAUUGAAUAAUCAGAGCAGAAAAAUAGUAUUAAUAUUUUAUUUUAAUUAAACACUAAAACUAACUUAUUAUAAAAAUUAGAAUUGUACUUUAAUUUAAUAAAAAAAUUAAUUAAUUUUGAACAAGUUAAAUACUUGACAAAAAAUUUAAUGAUCAGAUUGUAAUCUUAAAUUACUAGUGUAGUUCUUCAACUAACAAGGAAAUGGAUAAUAUUUAAUUUUAUUAAAACUUGAGUUUUGAUGUAAUGAGAAAGAUAUAAGAAUCAACUCUUGUAUUAAAUCAAACCUCAUAAGUAAAUAGUAUUUAUCUCUUUAUACUUAAUGAGAUUAUCUCUCUCUUUUUUAAUUAUCUAGUUUUAAAAUUUCAGUCUUUAUUUUUUAUUUAUAAUCAUUUCUUUCAAUAGUUUUCACUGUAUAAUAUAAAAUUUAGAUGAAUUAUAAUCUUUAAUAUAUGAUAUAAAUAUGUAAUUUUUUUGGAUCAUAUGAUACCAAAUGAAGCCGAGAGCUGUUCAUUCUAUAAUCCUCAUGCUGUAAACUCAAGGCAAGAGAAAUCCUCAAGCUAAGACCGUAUAGAGGCACCUCGCAAUGACAGGUCUUUCUGCUCUUUUGGAUUUGUGUAGCCGAGUUAGCUCUUUUGGAUCAUAGAAGAACAGAUCGUGCAAACUAUUAGCUCAUAGCCAAUGGAUCGAGAAGAAGAGAGAAGGAAGAUUUAGAAAGCCAUGAGAGAGAAUAUUAUGCUUAUCGAUGAAAGGAAAACUUGCUUGCCUUCAUUACAAUACAACUUCUCCUCUUAUAGAGGAGGGUAAAUACAAUACUACAGAAAAAGAUAAGGUGGGAAUCUUAUCUUUGACACAUGUCCUCCUUAGAGGAAGAGAUGAGAUUUUCCACUUACAAAAGCUAAGUCUAAUAAUACACUAACAGCUCACCGACAGUUCAUAUGCAUAUUAAGACGAUAAGUCUUAAUAAUGCACUUACAUAUGUGAAAGAUAGAAAAUAAUGCACCGAAAAAGAUGAAAUUGACAUUUCAUCUUUUUGUUACAUAUUGAAUUAUUGAGGAGAUGGCUUGUCUUCAUGUCCAGCGCACACAUCACUAGCUCAGAAAACACUGUCAUAGUCAUCAUCAUCCAUAGGUUGAGAAUCUUGCAUGAUAGUAUCCUUCUGUUCACUGGUCAGAUCCGGAUCAUCCAAUGGGGUUGGAAGUAUAGGAAAAGUGGAAUGUUCAAUAAUGGGUGUUCAGUCCAUACAUGUCCAUUAUAAGCGCAGACUAAUGGUGUAGAGACAUCAGUGGUCCCUAAUUCAUUUCUUAGUUGUAGAGCCUGCUUUAGAUCCCUUGUAAUUGUUGGAGAAGCAAGAUGUAAAGGCACUUCAAUCGUUCUCCAAUAAUGACAGAUAUUUUGAGUUGCAUAAGUGUCCUCUGAGAACUGAAGGUAAGGCCUGUGGAGAAUAAAAAUGGCAUGAUAUCCUGAAGCCUUGGAAUUAUUGCCUGUGAAUAAUUUGUUCUAAUGAAUAACCUUGAGGAGUUCCUUUCUCCAUUGGUACGGGGUUUUGAACCAAGUAAGGUAUCUCCAUGGAUAUGUUCCCGUAUUUGUCUCAUUAUUGAAGAAGUAUAGGAGAUUCAUAACUGGUAUUUCAAUAGCAUGAUAACAAACUGUUGAAAGGCACUAUAAAAACCAUAAUUCACUCUCAAUCUGUGGAUGGGUAGGAGAAAGGUGAUAAAUCAGACAACAAGGGUAAUCUGGGUAAAAGAAAUUGGGUUGAAUGGGCAGUGAGAAGGUUUGUUGGAAAGUUGCCAAAUAAUGGAACAUCAUAUUUCUCGCAAAAUCAGUGACCUGUUUGGUUGUGAGAUUUGUGGGAAGGUCUGGUGGUGAGGGAGGUUGCAGAGGGGUCUUUGAGGACGAAGAGGCCAUGAAGAUUAUAGGGAGAUUGACUGUAGAGGUGAGGAGGACUAUAGGUUGAUUUUGUGGCUUUGACAGUCUGGAUAAGAAAUCUGGGAUGAGAUUUCUCGUCCCUUUUAUAUGCUGAACUUUAAAAUCAUAUCUGCUGAACAAUGAUUUUAACCUCAAUAAUUGAGGUUUUGGUAAGGUCUUUUGGUUGGAUUCAAGGAUUUUUAGGAAUGAAGAAUUGUCCAUCCGAACCAGGAAGUGCUGUCCAAUCAGGAAGAACUCAAACUUUUUUAUCCCGUAUUUGACUGCCAAGAUCUCCUUGUAGGUUGCGUUCUAAUAUUUUUCUGAAGAAGAAAAUUGUCCUGAUGCAUAACCACACAAUUGUUCUUUGCCAUUGAGAUUUUCAAGGAUGAUGGCCCCCCACGCAUAAUCAGACGCACCCGUCUGAAGGAUAAGAUUUCCUGUGGAUGGAAUAGUGAGAGGUGGAGGAUUGUGAGCCAACUCUUUUAGUUUCCGGAUAGCUGUAGUCUGCUCUAUUCCCCAAGAAGAAGGGUCCUUUUUGAGCAUCUUAGAAAGAUGACAUGUGUAACUGGACAGGUACGGUAUGGCUUCUCUGACAUAAUUUAGUAUUCCAAGAAAUUGUUGUAAUUACUUUACAGAGAGAUUCUCAUCUGAAAAGUAAUCAAGUUCCUUUGUCAGAUGCGGACCAUACAUGUAUUGGCCGUUUUUGAAAUGCAUGCCAAGAAACUCUAUCUCUUGUCGGCCAAUAAGACUCUUUUUUUUCUGACAGCAUGAUGCCAUAUUUUGAAUGUUAGCAAGGAACUGUUUCAGAAGUUGAUGAUGUUCCUCAGCUGUUUCCGAGAAUAGGAGAAUGUCAUCAAUGUAGAUCAAGGAGGAGUAAAGGAUAGGCCCAAAGAUUUCUAUCAUGGUCUUUUAAAAUUGUUAAGGAGCUGUUUUGAGCCCAAAAGGCAUGGUUGUCCAUUGAUAUUGGAUGUUUAGGAUACAAAAGGUUGUUUUGUAUCUUUUUGAGGGAUGGAUACCCAAUUGCCAAAAGCCCGCCUUGAGAUCAAAUUUUGAAUAGAACUAGGCCUUUUGGAUAUGGACUUUUAGGUUCAAGAUUCGGGGGAGAGGAAAUUUAUUAUCUUGUAAGAAAUGGUUUAAAGGCUUGUAAUCAAUAACAAGUCUCUUUUUCCCUCUUAACUUCUCAGACCUUUUUUCCACAUAAAAGGCUUGACAGGCCCAUUGUGAGGUUGUAGGGUCAAUGAGGCCUUGUUGUAAGGGCUAGAUCAGUAGGAGACAUUCCUAGAUAUGUGGCCUUUGUCGGGUUGAUAUCUUCAUUGAGCUUGAAAGGGAGACUGAUAUAGAAUUGGAGAUUUUUCCACAAGGGAAGAGGAUGUUGGAAAUGUGAAUGGGAUUCUGGACAAAAAAGAAGAAAUUUUUCCGUGUAUUGUAAGAAUGGUGGACCUGUAUCUGCUAUAGUGAACAGAUUAGAGGUCUCUGUGUAUGGACGAAAUUGCCUCUUGAAUUUUAUUCCAUUGGGAAGGAUCUGAAGCUUCUGAGCUUGGUGAUAAACAUCAAACCCUAUUAAAAGGUCUUUGUUUGGAAGAUCUGAACCAAUGAUGUGCGUCCAUACCAUGCAGUUAGGGAAAAACUGUAUUCCGAUUUUCUGUUUUGUAAUCAAAGUAGUCUUGAAAGUUUGACCAUUUGCUGCUCUGAAAAACUGAUCAUGAGACUUCCAGUAUUCAGAUGGAAGGACUUCGGAAUUUAUCAUGCUUCUUUGAGCUCCAGUGUCAAAGAAAGCUAUAACUGAAACAGUUUUUGCAUACUUUGAAGGCAGGAUUUGUACAGGAACAUAAGGAACUGGAGGAAUUUUGGUAACAAGCUGAGAUAACUCAGGAAGAAGAUAUGGAGAGAAAGGGUACUGCAUUACAUCUCUCAGGAUAUCUUCCUCUAUUUCUUCUUUUAAAGAGAGACUGAUCAUUAGGAUUGGAAUCUCACUAUCAUCAGAGUCUGAAGAAGACUCUUCUGAGGAUUUAAUGGAGUCUGAAUAAUCUGCCUCUAUUCCAAAGAGACUCUCUGGAGUAAGAUUGUCUUGUUCUGAUAGGAGCGACUCUAUAUCUUCUUCAAAUGAUUCUGGAAGAGACAUAGACAUGCUGACUUGUUGUAUCAUCCUUGCUAAUUUUUCUAGAUUCUGGGUACAGUUCUUAGCAUAGUGUCCCUUCUUUUGACAGAUAUAGCAUCUGUCUGAUUUGUGGCCUUGAUUUCUUUUCUUCCGGAAAUAUCUGAAUCCUUUUGAGCGUGGUUUUCUUCCUCUAAAUUCUUUGUUUCUGCGUGAGUAUUUUUAAAAAUGAUGCCCGAUCUUCUUUUUAUGACUGGAGUAGACGCAGUUUGAGGCCUUGCAUUUAAUCUUGAGAUGAUUUUUAUUACAGGCCUUUUGAACAAUCAAGUCCCGCUGAGAUAACCUUCUGAAUAAUUCUUGCUGAUCACAUAAUCUCUUAAUGGAAGAAAGAGUGAAUUGUCAAAUCUCUCCAAGUGUGAUGGAGGUGACUGGUUUCUUUGUUGCGGCGAUCAUGUUAUUAACUUCUGGUUGAAUCUCAUCUGGUAAUGAGGUGAUGAAAGUAUACUUCAACAUAUCAUCACCGUCAUGCCCUCCAAUGACAUAAUAAUCUUUAGACAUAGCAGAAUAAUGUCUUUCCAGAUCCUUUAUUUUCAACGAACAACAUUUUCGAUCAAAGCAUUCUUGCUUUUGUUGUCAUAUAACAAGAUCAUAACUUCCAAGGAAAUGAUUAUGGAGGACUGUGACCGCAGCUGAAGGAGUUGGUAGAGUCACAAAUUGGAGCCUGGUAUACUCAGGCUGUGACUGGAACCAAUCUCUUAAACUUCCUGUGAACCUCGUGACAAAUUCAGCAAGAACUUUUUUGAGUGUGGCACCAUCAAAAGUCAUUUGGAGAUCGAUCCAUGCUAAAAAUUCUGAAAGCUUAUCCUUCCAUUUUGAUGGAGGCAAAUCAUCAAAUGAGAACCAAGGUCCCGUAUCAGUUGUCGGCUUUGACCUUGGGUAUGAAGCUUUGGUGGGAGCAAAAAAUGAUUGUGCAUCCUCCGUGCCAUCUUCAGGUUCUACUACUUCUGGACUGGGUUCAGUAUUAGAGGUAUUCAUAAGAAUUUUUGUGAUAUCUGCCAUCUCCGAAGUGUUUGAGGAAGAAUCAUAGUCAUAAGGACUGAUGAGUGAUUGGUCAGGUAGCUUUUCUAUAGAGACUGGAGGAAGAGAUAUUUUCUUUUGUUGGUUUAAGGAAUCUUUUGGGUAAAGAUGUGAGAAUGUGCCAAAAGGUUGGUAGAGAGUUCCCUCUUGUUGUGGCUAUGGGAGGAAAGGAAAUGAAGAAUAAUAUGAGGGAGCAAUGGCAGAAGAUGUAGAGGCUGCUGAUGUAAAGGAUGGGAUUGUAGAAGACUGAUCUUUUCGAAGAUCAUGUUUAAUUUGGUCUAUCUGCCUUUUGAGCCUUGUAAUUUCCUUUUCUUUCUGGAUGAAAGCUGGUGUGAUCGGUUGAGGAACUCGAAGCUCUUUAUCCAAGGCAUGAUAUUUGGCAGUUAGUGUGGAAUAUAGUUGGAGUACUUCCUGAGAGAAGGUGUCCAACUUUUGGUCCAGCUUGUGAGCCAAAUGUAGAGCCUGAUCCAAUUUUCCAUCUAUUUUCUUCAUAUAGGAAUUCUGAACCAUGGAAUUUGAGGUCUGCCAAUUCAGGACCUCUUCUGGUGGAGUGAGAGGCUCUAUGGAUCCGGAAGGAGUAAUCCUUGAGGGGAGGAUUUUCAAUCUUUUAUUUUCGGACUUCCCUGGAGGAGGGAAAUCUUCUGGCUGGAACAUAAAACAGCUUUGGAUUGUAUGGGGUGGUUGAACUGCUGGUGAAUCAGAAUGAAUCUUUUUUCUCCUCUUUACAAACUUAACUCCUAAUUGGGCCAAAAGUGCCUUCAUUUCAUCAAAGGUGAUGUCAAGGACAGUCUUUCCUUCUUUUGCAAGAAGGUCUAAGGCUUCCUUAUAUAUUGGAAGAGGAGCUUUACUCUGUUUUUCUUUUUAUUUUCUGCGGAUGCCAAUCCAAUGACCGUUUGGAUCUCUGUCAUCCGGUUUUGGUUCUAUGGCUGAACAUGGAGUUUCUGGAGUCAUGUUUCUUGGAUUUUGCUUAGAGUGCUGAAAACAUGGUUCGGCAAAAUCGAGAUCAUCACUGCAGGUGCAUCUUGGUUUGCACAUUCCUGGGUCAACAUCCCAGAUGAAAUGUCCUUUUAUUCUGGUGGCAUAGAUCUGAUGCCCAGAAGACGAAAAUGAGUGGAUAAGGAUCUUCUCCCUAGGUCUGGACACAGGCUGUAUCAUUGAUGCCUAAAAGAUAGAAGGUGCAGAAGAAGACUCUCCCAUCUUUGUAAAGAUUAUCUUUACAGUACCAUCUUUUUGGUUAACAAAAAGAGGGUCAGUGGCUUGAACAGGCUUGGCCUGAGAUGCCUGAAGCUUUUCAUAAUUGGUUACCCAUUCAGUUGGGAUUAGUUUCUGCAGAUCUUCUCUUUCCAGCUGCCUUGGACCCUGGACUAUUGUUGGAAUUUGGCCAGAGUCAGCCAUAAUGAAUAAAGCAUCAGAGGAGGCUUGAAAGCCUGGAAUUUGGAGAUUAAAGGCAUGGUCCUGUAAUCUGUAGACAAUCUGAUGAUGCAGGGUCGCAGAGAGAGCGUCGAUCACUUGAUUUGCUCCCGUAAUCUGGACUUGGACCUUGAGUGCAGUUGACAAAUAGGGAUCAUUGAGGGAUAGGUUAAAAUUGGGGAAGAAAGUCAAAAUAACACUCCCAGUGUUAAAUGUUGUGACUAUCGUGCCAAUUACUGCAUGCUCGUACUUAAGAUAUCUGGUGUCCAGAAGCGACAUACGGGCCGUAACUGGUAGACCCAUCCUGCCAUGAUAUGAAAGGACUAGCCUGACAGCUCCGAGAUGGAGAUGUGUGUAUCCAUGUUUCCUCCAUUGUUCUAUGAAAGAUGUUGGAAUCUCAAGAGUAACAUACUGCUAUUGAGUGGUUGAUGUAAAAGAACAUUGUGAAAGUGAGGAAUAUUGAACAUACUCUUUAACAGAUAAGGGUUGUUUGUGGAUGAUUUGGUUGAAGAUUUUUCUAACAAAAUUUUAUUUUUUGAAGAUAUUGUAUGGGUUGAUGAUAGGUAUAAGAGUGUUUUCAAUCUGGACAUUCUCAGAAAUAUGAGAAAUUUCCACAAGAUGGUCAAUCUUAUUGGAUAUGGUUUUUCUACAAGAAGGAGAGAGUUGUAGAGUAGAGGUAUGAGCAGUGAUCUAUGAAGUCAUGAUAGUUGGGUUUCACUUCUCUGUAACCAAGGCUUUGAUACCAAAUGAAGCCGAGAGCUGUUCAUUCUAUAAUUCUCAUGCUGUAAACUCAAGGCAGGAGAAAUCCUCAAGCUAAGACCAUAUAGAGGCACCUCGCGAUGACAAGUCUUUCUGCUCUUUUGGAUUUGUGUAACCGAGUUAGCCCUUUUGGAUUAUAGAAGAACAGAUCGUGCAAACUAUUAGCUCAUAGCCAAUGGAUCGAGAAGAAGAGANNNGGAUCGAGAAGAAGAGAGAAGGAAGAUUUAGAAAGCCAUGAGAGAGAAUAUUAUGCUAAUCGAUGAAAGGAAAUCAUUUUUAAAAAUACCCGCGCAGAAAUAAAGAAUUUAGAGGAAGAAAACCGCGCUCAAAGGGAUUCAAAUAUUUCCGGAAGAAAAGAAAUCAAGGCCACAAAUCAGACAGAUGCUAUAUCUGUCGAAAGAAGGGACACUAUGCUAAGAACUGACCCCAGAAUCCAGAAAAAUCAGCAAGGAUGAUACAACAAGUCAGCAUGUCUAUGUCUCUUCCAAAAUCAUUUGAAGAAGAUAUAGAGUCGCUCCUAUUAGAACAAGAAAAUCUUACUCUAAAGAGUCUCUUUGGAAUAGAGGCAGAUUAUUCAGACUUCAUUGAAUCCUCAGAAGAGUCUUCUUCAGACUCUGAUGAUAGUUAGAUUCCAAUCCUAAUGAUCAGUCUCUCUUUAAGAGAAGAAAUAGAAGAAGAUAUCCUGAGAGAUGUAAUGCAGUACCCUUUCUCUCCAUAUCCACUUCCUGAGUUAUCUCAGCUUGUUACCAAAAGUCCUUCAGUUCCUUAUGUUCAUGUACAAAUCCUGCCUUCAAAGUAUGCAAAACCUGUUUCCAACAUCCUCUUCCCUUGUGAAAAAAUCUCCAGUUCUAUAUCAGUCUCCCUUUCAAGCUCAAUGAAGAUAUCAACCGAUCACACCAGCUUUCAUCCAGGAAGAAAAGGAAAUUACAAGGCUGAAAAGGCAGAUAGACCAAAUUGAAUAUGAUCUUCAAAAAGAUCAGCCUUCUACAAUCCCAUCCUUUAUAUCAGCAGCCUCUACAUCUUCUGCCAUUGCUCCCUCAUAUUAUUCUUCAUUUUCUUUCCUCCCACAGCCAGAACAAGAAGGAACUCUCUACCAACCUUUUGGCACUUUCUCACAUCUUUACCCAAAAGAUUCCUUAAACCAACAAAAGAAAAUAUCUCCUCCUUCAGUCUCUAAAGAAAAGCUACCUGACCAAUCACUCAUCAGUCCUUAUGACUCUGAUUCUUCCUCAAACACUUCGGAGAUGGUAGAUAUUAUGAAUACCUCUACUACUGAACCCAGUCCAGAAGUAGUAGAACCUGAAGAUGGCACGGAGGAUGCACAGUCAUUUUUUGCUCCCACCGGAGCUUCAUACCCAAGGUCAAAGCCGACAACUGGUACGGAACCUUGGUUCUCAUUUGAUGAUUUGCCUCCAUCAAAAUGGAAGGAUAAGCUUUCAAAAUUUUUAGCAUGGAUGGAUCUCCAAAUGACUUUUGAUGGUGCCACAGUCAAAAAAGUUCUUGCUGAAUUUAUCACGAGGUUCAUAGGAAGUUUAAGAGAUUAGUUCCAGUCACAGCCUGAGUAUACCAGGCUCCAAUUUGUGACUCUACCAACUCCUUCAGCUGCGGUCACAGUCCUCCAUAAUCAGUUCCUUGGAAGUUAUGAUCUUGUUAUACGACAACAAAAACAAGAAUACUUUGAUCGAAAAUAUUGUUCGUUGAAAAUAAAAGAUCUGGAAAGACAUUAUUCUGCUAUGUCUAAACUUUAUUAUGUCAUUGGAGGGCAUGACGGUGAUGAUACGUUGAAGUAUACUUUCAUCACCUCAUUACCAGAUGGGAUACAACCAGAAGUUAACAACAUGAUCGCCGCAACAAAGAAACCAGUCACCUCCAUCACACUCGGAGAGAUUUGGCAAUUCACUCUCUCUUCCAUUAAGAGAUUAUGUGAUCAGCAAGAAUUAUUCAGAAGGUUAUCUCAGCAGGACUUGAUUGUUCAAAAGGCCUGUAAUAAAAAUCAUCUCAAGAUUAAAUGCAAGGCCUCAAACUGUGUUUGCUCCUGUCAUAAAAAGAAGUUUGGGCAUCAUUUUUAAAAAUACCCGCAUAGAAACAAAGAAUUUAGAGGAAGAAAACCGCGCUCAAAGGGAUUCAAAUAUUUCCGGAAGAAAAGAAAUCAAGGCCACAAAUCAGACAGAUGCUAUAUCUGUCGAAAGAAGGGACACUAUGCUAAGAACUGUCCCCGGAAUCCAGAAAAAUCAACAAGGAUGAUACAACAAGUCAACAUGUCUAUGUCUCUUCCAGAAUCAUUUGAAGAAGAUAUAGAGUCGCUCCUAUCAGAACAAGACAAUCUUACUCUAGAGAGUCUCUUUAGAAUAGAGGCAUAUUAUUCAGACUCCAUUGAAUCCUCAGAAGAGUCUUCUUCAGACUCUGAUGAUAGUGAGAUUCCAAUCCUAAUGAUCAGUUUUUCUUUAAGAGAAGAAAUAGAAGAAGAUAUCCUGAGAGAUGUAAUGCAGUACCCUUUCUCUCCAUAUCCACUUCCUGAGCUAUCUCAGUUUGUUACCAAAAUUCCUCUAGUUUCUUAUGUUCCUGUACAAAUCCUGCCUUCAAAGUAUGCAAAACUUGUUUCCAACAUCCUCUUCCCUUGUGGAAAAAUCUCCAGUUCUAUAUCAGCCUCCCUUUCAAGCUCAAUGAAGAUAUCAACCGAUCACACCAGCUUUCAUCUAGAAAGAAAAGGAAAUUACAAGGCUCAAAAGGCAGAUAGACCAAAUUGAACAUGAUCUUUGAAAAGAUCAGCCUUCUACGAUCCCAUCCUUUACAUCAGCAGCCUCUACAUCUUCUGCCAUUGCUCCCUCAUAUUAUUCUUCAUUUUCUUUCCUCCCACAGCCAGAACAAGAAGGAACUCUCUACCAACCUUUUGGCACUUUCUCACAUCUUUACCCAAAAGAUUCCUUAAACCAACAAAAGAAAAUAUCGCCUCCUCCAGUCUCUAAAGAAAAGCUACCUGACCAAUCACUCAUUAGUCUUUAUGACUCUGAUUCUUCCUUAAACACUUCGGAGAUGGCAGAUAUUAUGAAUACCUCUACUACUGAACCCAGUCCAGAAGUAGUAGAACCUGAAGAUGGCACGGAGGAUGCACAGUCAUUUUUUGCUCCCACCAGAGCUUCAUACCCAAGGUCAAAGCCGACAACUGGUACGGAACCUUGGUUCUCAUUUGAUGAUUUGCCUCCAUCAAAAUGGAAGGAUAAGCUUUCAAAAUUUUUAGCAUGGAUGGAUCUCCAAAUGACUUUUGAUGGUGCCACACUCAAAAAAGUUCUUGCUGAAUUUGUCACGAGGUUCACAGAAAGUUUAAGAGAUUAGUUCCAGUCAUAGCCUGAGUAUACCAGGCUCUAAUUUGUGACUCUACCAACUCCUUCAGCUGCGGUCACAGUCCUCCAUAAUCAGUUCCUUGGAAGUUAUGAUCUUGUUAUACGACAAGAGAUAGAGUUUCUUGUCAUGCAUUUCAAAAACGGCCAAUACAUGUAUGGUCCGCAUCUGACAAAGGAACUUGAUUACUUUUCAGAUGAGAAUCUCUCUGUAAAGCAAUUACAAUAGUUUCUUGGAAUACUCAAUUAUGUCAGAGAAGUCAUACCGCACCUGUCCAGUUACACAUGUCAUCUUUCUAAGAUGCUAAAAAAGGACCCUCCUUCUUGGGGAAUAGAGCAGACUACAGCUGUCCGGAAACUAAAACAGUUGGCUCACAAUCCUCCACCUCUCACCAUCCCAUCCACAGGAAAUCUUGUCCUUCAGACGGAUGCGUCUGAUUAUGCAUGGGGGGCCAUCCUCCUUGAAAAUCUCAAUGGCAAAGAACAACUGUGUGGUUACGCAUAAGGACAAUUUUCUUCUUCAGAAAAACAUUACCACACAACCUACAAGGAGAUCUUGGCAAUCAAAUACGGGAUAAAAAAGUUUGAGUUUUCUGAUUGGACAGCACUUCCUGGUUCGGAUGGACAAUUCUUCAUUCCCAAAAAUCCUUGAAUCUAACCAAAAUACCUUACCAGAACCUCAAUUACUGAGGUUAAAUUCAUGGUCCAACAUAUAUGAUUUUGAAGUUCAGCAUAUAAAAGGGACGAGAAAUCUCAUCCCAGUUUUCUUAUCCAGACUGUCAAAGCCACAAAAUCAACCUAUAGUCCUCCUCACCUCAACAGUCAAUCUCCCUAUAAUCUUCAUGGCCUUUUCGUCCUCAAAGACCCCUCUGCAACCUCCCUCACCACCAGACCUUCCCACAAAUCUCACAACCAGACAGGUCACGGAUUUUGCCAGAAAUAUGAUGUUCCAUUAUUUGGCAACUUUCCAACAAAUCUUCUCACUGCCCAUUCAACCCAAUUUCUUUUACCCAGAUUACUCUUGGUGUCUGAUUUAUCACCUUUCUCCUACCCAUCCACAGAUUGAGAGUGAAUUGUGGUUUUUAUGGUGCCUUUCUAUAGUUUGUUAUCAUGCUAUUGAAAUACCAGUUAUGGAUCUCCUACACUUCUUCAAUAAUGAGACAAAUACAGGAACAUAUCCAUGUAGAUACCUUACUUGGUUCAAAACCCCGUACCAAUGGAGAAAGGAACUCCUCAAGGUUAUUCAUUAGAACAAAUUAUUCACAGACAAUAAUUCUAAGGCUUCAGGAUAUCAUGCCAUUUUUAUUCUCCACAGGCCUUACCUUCAGUUCUCAGAGGACACUUAUGCAACUCAAAAUAUCUGUCAUUAUUGGAGAACGAUUGAAGUGCCUUUACAUCUUGCUCCUCCAACAAUUACAAGGGAUCUAAAGCAGGCUCUACAACUAAGAAAUGAAUUAGGGACCACUGAUGUCUCUACACCAUUAGUCUGCGCUUAUAAUGGACAUCUAUGGACUGAACACCCCAUUAUUGAACAUUCCACUUUUCCUAUACUUCCAACCCAUUGGAUGAUCCGGAUCUGACCAGUGAACAGAAGGAUGCUACCAUGCAAGAUUCUCAACCUAUGGAUGAUGAUGACUAUGACAGUGUUUUCUGAGCUAGUGAUGUGUGCGCUGGACAUAAAGACAAGCCAUCUCCUCAAUAAUUUAAUAUGUAAUAAAAAGAUGAAAUGUCAAUUUCAUCUUUUUCGGUGCAUUAUUUUCUGUCUUUCACAUAUGUAAGUGCAUUAUUAAGACUUAUCGUCUUAAUAUGCAUGUGAACUGUCGGUGAGCUGUCAGCGUAUUAUUAGACUUAGCUUUUGUAAAUGGAAAAUCUCAUCUCUUCCUCUAAGGAGGACAUGUGUCAAAGAUAAGAUUCCCACCUUAUCUUUUUCUGUCGUAUUGUAUUUACCCUCCUCUAUAAGAGGAGAAGUCGAUUUGUAAUGAAGUAAGCAAGUUUUCCUUUCAUCGAUAAGCAUAAUAUUCUCUCUCAUGGCUUUCUAAAUCUUCCUUCUCUCUUCUUCUCGAUCCAUUGGCUAUGAGCUAAUAGUUUGCACGAUCUGUUCUUCUAUGAUCCAAAAGGGCUAACUCGGCUACACAAAUCCAAAAGAGCAGAAAGACCUGUCAUGGCGAGGUGCCUCUAUACGGUCUUAGCUUGAGGAUUUCUCCUGCCUUGAGUUUACAGCAUGAGGAUUAUAGAAUGAACAGCUCUCGGCUUCAUUUGGUAUUGUUUAUUUGCAUAUAUAAACUUAUUAGUUUUUUACUUAUAAUAAUAAUAUAAAGGAAAUUUAUAGAUAAAUUUUAUAACUAAUACAUAACUAAUUAUAGAAUAAUAUAAGUAUAAUUAUAAUUAAUUUAAAUUAUAUUAAUAUUAAAAGUACUUUAACAAUAUCUAUUACUUUAUUUUUUUAAAAUAAAUAAAUUAAAUUAAAAAAAUAUUCGAUAUUAAUCAACAGAUAAUUUGUAUCAUUAAUUUAUAUUUAAGAGUCAAAUACACCAAUUUAAAAUUUUUUAGCAAAUGGUUUAUUUGUUCUCUAAAUUUAUGUUUNNNAAUUUAAACUUUUCAACAAAUGCCUUUAAACUUGUGUCCCAAAUGUCAAAUAUAUUCAAUUUAACUUUUUUUUAAAAAAUAAAAUAAAAUAAAUUUUUAGAUUUUAAUUAAAUUAUAAAAAUUAAAAUAAUAUUUAUUUCAUUAAUUUACAAAUACAAUAUUUAAUACGUGCUAUACAAUAACGUGUUUGGUAAAAUUUAAAAUUUUAUUUAGUUGACUCAAAAAUGACAAGUUAUGGUUCUAUUUGUUAAGAAAGUUGAAAUUUGACUUAUUUAGUCAUUAGACACAAAUUCGUGGGUGAAAUUAACUAUUUUUCCAUUCGACUUUAUUGAUUGUUAAGAUUAUAAAUUAUUAUAAUUAUAAAUUUAUUUGAUCAAUUGAUAUAAUUAUAAUUAAAAUGCUAUUUUUAAUAUUAAAAACAUUAUAAAUAUUAAAAAGUAACUAUUAAUUAAUAAAUUAAUAUAAAUAAAUUAUAAAAUUACACUUCAACUUAAAUAUCGUAUGUGAAAUUAAAUAUGUAUAUAAAAAAAUAUCUAUAUGACAAAAUAAUAACAUAUAUCAAAAAACUUUUAUAUAUCAAUGAUUUAUAAAUAUAUAAAAUAUACGCCAUUCUAUUAAUUAUAUAUUAUUUACUUUUAAAAUCACGUUAACUAUAAGAGAAAAAAAAUAAUUUUUCUAGAGAAAAAGUUUAUGUCAUAAAAAUAACAAAAGGACUUUUUUUCAAGAAAAAGAAUUGAUGUCCUAAUGAAAAACCUAAACAGUUUAAUAAUUAUUAUAGAGUUUGAUUCUUAAAAAAAAUUUAAAAUUAUAUAAUACUAGUAAUUUACUUAGUUUUAUGAGUUAAAUUUUUAGUUUAAAGUAUUUUAAUUUAAUUAUAAAUAUAUUACAUAUUAUAAGAAAAUAAUUGUAUUUAGCUAUAUUCUACUUUAAUAAAUAUUUAAUAUUAUUAUUUUAUUUUAAUAACUUUAAAAUUCAAUGGUCAUAAAAAAAAUAGAUGUAUAGUAAAUUAGUGGCAUUAUAUAAUAGUUAAUUUUUUUUAAUUAUAUUUAGCUAUUAUUUUAUUUAAAUAAAUAUUUAAUUAUAUUAUUUUAUUUAGUUAAUAUUUAAUAUUAGAAUGUAUUUAAUAUUAUUAUCUUAUUCUAUUAGUAUUUGAUGUCAUAUUAAAUUAUCAUAUAACCAUAUUAAAUUUAUUUAUUUUAUUGAAAGUCUAUCUGAUGUGGUUUUAUAAAAUAUUGAUAAAUAGAGUUAUAUAUAGAAGGUUGAAGUUAUUUAUGAAGAAAUUAUUAUAGUGAGAAAAUAUAUGAUAAACGAUUUAGAUUUGGAUAACUUGCAAGCAACGAAGACAUUUGGAAAAGUUAUGAAGUGCUUACAGACAAAAUUGUUGUAUAAUCAUUGUUUUCAUUACAUAAUUAUUUUAGGCAAUUACUCAUUAGUCAUUAUCUUUGCCAAAUUGGAAGGAAAGCCAUGGCACAGCAGAACCACCAAAGGCCUAUAAAACACAGACCUCUUACUUUCUUUAUAAAUUUCAUUGCUUCGUUUAUAUGCUUCCUCAAACAAUAUUCUAAGAGGGGAAAAAAAUAAGAAAAAAUGAUUUUGGAAAUAAAUUGGUACUUUAUUAUAAAUCUACAAUCUUAACUUGUAUUUUUAAUUUUAGACUAAGGCCUAUUUUUUGGUCUCAUUUCACAAAGAUGUCAGUACAAAUGAAGCUAAGCAGGUUAUGCAUUUCUGUUGUACCCUUUCAAUUAAUUGUUUUCUCUCAAUCAAUUAUCAUCGGAAAUUACUAUAGAUGUCAUUUCCUUUUCAACUCAAUAUUUUUCAUAAGAUGAAUUUCCAUGAACCCCCCGAUUUUAUUAAAUGUUCAUUCUAAAUAACACUCCAAUUAUUGAGGAAAGGAAGGAGAAAAUUGCAAAUCUUAUUUCCACCAAUUUAUUUGGAUACAACUGUAUAGCCUCACACAUUUUGCACCAGAAUCAACAACUGUAUUUUGUUACUGAUCCAUUGUUUCAGGCUGAAUUUUUAUCUUCAUUUAGGUUCUUGAUGUACAUAAAUCAUAUCAAUUAAUUUAUAAUAAAAAUCAUAUUACUAAAUAUUAUACUGAGAGAAAAUAUGUAAUUUUAUUAGUGUAAUAUGUUAAUAUUUUAUUAUAUUAUACAAAAAAAAUAAAUGAGACAAAAUAAUAUCACAAUAAAAUAAAAUAUUGAUAUUAUAUAUAUAUUUUUAAAGCUAUAUGUAUAAAUAUUAUUAUAAAAUAAUAUUUUUUAAUAUAAAAUUUAAAAAAUAUAUAAUUUAUUAUAAUAGAGAUUUUAUUCAUAUUUAUAACCGGUUUAAAUUGAGAUUAAACUUUUUAUCAUUAUACAGACAUUAAUAUAAAAAAAUUCAUUUAAAAGCAAUCUUAUUUUUUAUGUGGGCCAGAAAUCUACAUUUAUUUUGAAAUCUACAUUUAUUUUAUGUAUCCGUUAAUCAUUCAGCAAAUAACAUUACCUUUUAUCUGAGAUUAGGUUAAUCUUUUUUUAAUUGAUAUUGAUAGUGACAAAAAAUUAUACAUAUCUUUUUCUGAGAAUAAGAUUGUAUUUUUUGAUGGGGACAAGAAAUAAUAUUUUUUCUUACUUAAUCAUACAUGACAAAAACAAAAACAAUUAAAUUUUUUAACAAUUAUAUAAAUUCAAGAAAAGCAAUUGUAUAUAAAUCUCUACUGUUCCGUGAUAUCAUCACCACUUCACCAGACAGUUUCAAUCAGUUUUUUUUUUUUUUUUUAUAAAUAUUUUUGGUACCUUUUUACACUUUAGCCCUUCAAUUUCUUGUUAAUUCUCCUGCAAUGGUUCUAACCCAGAUAGCCAAUUACACAUGAACACGUUGUAGGAUACACACUGUUUAUUUCCCUGCCCGUCUCUGUCCCUCUCAAAUCUCUGGCUUUUCCUUUUUCUUUCCUCAAAGCCUUUUUUUUUUUCUCACUUUCUACUUUUCUUUUUCUAAUCAAAGACCAUAUUUUUCUGGUCAUUACUUGUCUGAUUAAUAAAUUAAUCUUUAUCUGUUUUUCAUUUUAGGAAAUGAUGGUUAAUUAUUGACAUUUGCGGUCUUGGGUCCUAAAGUUCUGAUGGGUUUUUGCACAUUGUACUGUUCAAUUUUGAUAUUUGGUUGAUUAUCAACUUGAUCUAUUGGGCCAUCAAGGUUUGAGUUAUCUAUUUCUGUUAUUUGAUCUACAUUGGCGAGUUUCCGCAGAUUUUGGUAUAUCUGGUUUUGCAUGUUCUGUUGGGUUUUAGUUUGUUUUAGGUCCUCUGCUUGUUUAUGGAGUUUUACAUUGCAAGUAUUAAAGAGUUUAUGAACAUCUGGGGAGUCUUAGUUUUGUAUGGUUUAUUCGGUUUUGCGCUCCUUUGAGGCGUUCUCUUGAUAAGCUAUGAGAAAUUAUUGGAUUCUGUAGGGUUAUUUUGUUUGUUUUGGCGUUUCUUUGUUGGGUGUUAUAAAAUGAAGAGGUUAAAAAGUGAACCUCCCAGUGGUAGGAGGUGCAAAUUGUCUCAUUUCUUGCUGGGUAUAGGAGCAUUGUACUUGGUGUUUUUAGCAUUUAAAUUUCCACAUUUUUUAGAGAUUGCAGCAAUGUUAAGUGGAGAUGACAGUUAUGUUGGACUGGAUGGUGCUCUAGUCGAAGAUAUGGAAGAUUCAGAGUUAACCAAACCUUUAUUCAGCUCUGUUUAUAAGGAUACAUUCCACCGGAAAUUAGAAGAUAACCAAAACCAAAAUGCACCAAGGAUGCCUAGCAAGGAACCCUUGGAAGAAGUAAAAGGGGAGUCUAAACCUAUAAAGCCACUUCAGCAUCCAUAUGGUAGAAUAACAGGAGAGAUUUUAAAGCGAAGGAAUAGAACUAGUGAUUUGUCCAUUCUUGAGAGAAUGGCAGAUGAAGCUUGGACUUUAGGAUUGAAAGCAUGGGAGGAGGUGGAGAAGUAUGAUGAUGAGAAAGAGAUUGGCCAAAAUUCUGUAUACGAUGGGAAGACUGAGCCUUGUCCUUCAUGGGUAUCAAUGAAGGGAGCGGAGCUGUCUGGGGAGGAAAAGAUGAUGUUCCUUCCAUGCGGUUUAGCUGCAGGAUCUUCUAUUACAUUGGUGGGAACGCCUCAUUAUGCACAUCAGGAGUAUGUGCCUCAGCUGGCAAGGUUGAGGAAUGGUGAUGGCAUUGUUAUGGUAUCACAAUUUAUGAUUGAAUUACAAGGGCUAAAGGCAGUGGAUGGGGAGGAUCCACCGAAGAUUCUACAUUUGAAUCCUCGAUUGAGAGGGGAUUGGAGUAAGCAGCCAGUCAUUGAGCACAACACCUGCUACCGGAUGCAAUGGGGGACAGCUCAGAGAUGUGAUGGUUUGCCAUCCAAGAAAGACGAGGACAUGCUGGGUAAGAGCUAUUAUCAACACCUUUUUUAAGUUUGUCUCUCCUUAUUUCUUUUCAUGUGUUAUGCCAAAUAUAUUAGGUUCCAGGAGGUAGAUAAAAUAAGUAUGACCCUUAAGAAAUGGAAGGAGUCAUGAAUGCUGGGACGUGAGUAGAUGAGGGGACUUACUUAUUAUAUUUGGUUUAUAUUUUAUUGAUGAAAGGGAGGAAUGGUACUUUAUAUAGACAAGAGAGAAAACAGUCUUAAGGUUGUAAACAAACGAUCCAUGACACUGAAGGCUCCUUGAACUCAAAUUCUGAAGUUCAGAGACAUCUUUUAAACUCUCUCAUUCAGUUUUUUAACUUUUGCUAUGUAUGACAUAUAAGGUAUGUCGGUUAAUUUCCUAAAUCUCUUUGAAAAACCACGACUAGAACAUGUGCUAAAGCUGUAUUAUGAGCUCAAGAUGUCAAUUAUUGUUGAAGGAAAGGUUAAUCUCUAAGUUAUAAUGUGAAAGUACUUCAAGUAUUUAUAUUGUAAAGUACAUCAAUUGGAAUAGAGGAUCAAAUACAGCAUAAUCUUAAAGGUGAAAAUUAUCAUUUAUGUAAUUCUGUUAGUGCUAGUCUGCUUCCUACUUGUAAGCUGAUUAAUUUUUGUAGUUUCAAUUGUUUACAUCUUGUCUUGUUGUUAGUUAAUACACAAAUUAUCACCAUCAACAUCUCAAUUGGGUAGCGAGAAGUAAUCAAACUUCAAUCAUUUCUGUUUCCUGCUAGGGAUUAGGACAUAUUGUUUUGAUAUAUGGCAAACUCUCCAUAGGUUUUCUUUUCUUUAAAAAAAAGGUCUGCCAAUUUUCAUAUCAGUUGAUAUAAAAUGUUAGGUCCUAUGUAGCAUGUCUAUACAUCAGUGAGAAGAAGCAUUAACAUAGUGUUAAUUCAAUCCAAAAAUCAACCAUUAAAUUGAUGCUUUCAUGGAAUUGGGUUGUACUUAUAUGUAAUUAUGCAGUGGGAAGGUUCCAUGCAAACAAUUCGGAAGAUGUCAGUUUAUAUGUAGUUAUGUGCAGUUAGUAAAGAGUUAUGCUGACAAGGUCUGGACAGAAAUAAACGUAUUGUGAAGCGCUGCUUUGUAAGGUUAUGCAUAUGCGAUAAUGCUUCAAGUUUUCAUCUAUUCUUUAGUUUCCUUAUUAAUAGUCCACAUAAAGAUGAUUCCAAUUGUAUAGUGGCCACAAACUCAAGUAAUUACCUGUCUUUAUAUCAUGUGAUGAGUGGAAAGUUUCUAGUUCAAACCUUCAUUACUAAUCAAUUAUUUUGUGCAGAGUUGGUCACAUUCAUUCACACACGGAUGCACACACCAAAGUUCAUAGUGAAUACUAAUUCUCGUAAUUCCAUGUCAUACCAUUUGGAUGUAACUUCUGGUACAUAUACUUGACAGUUGAUGGUUUUCUGAGAUGCGAGAAAUGGAUGCGGAAUGACAUUGUAGAUUCAAAGGAGUCAAAGACAACUUCAUGGUUCAAGAGAUUCAUAGGCCGUGAGCAGAAACCUGAAGUGACUUGGCCAUUUCCUUUUGCGGAGGGAAGAUUGUUUAUCCUGACAUUGCGGGCUGGUGUUGAUGGCUACCAUAUCAAUGUUGGGGGUCUGCAUGUGACCUCAUUUCCAUAUCGUCCGGUAGGUUGUUAAAUUCAAGGAAAAACUGAUAUAUAUUUCUUAUGAGAAAUUUUUUGUAUGUCUCCUAGUCAUGCGGCAAAAACUCACCUUGUAGAUCCAGACAACAUGGUUUCAGACCAAAUUCUUGGCAUUUUAUCAUGAUGUUCUGACUGCUACAGGGAUUAAAUUGUUUGCAAGCAAAUUUAUUUUGUUUGAAUAUUUCCUUCAUUUCUUGUACGCAUUGCACAUACAAGCUUGCUGCUAUUCCUUUCGAGUUUUUUAUUUGCUUUCUUCUUCCCAUUCUCUUUUCACUGAGUUCCUUCAAUAUAGUUGAUUUGUAUAUUCAUGAGUACUUGUUCUUUUAACUCUUAUAGUGGAACCAUCUCCUGUUCGACUGAUCAGUAUUGCAAACAGAGUGCUCCAAGUAGCUGCAUUAAACUUGAAAUGGUUUCUUAUGAAAUAUUUUUGUGCCUUCAGGGAUUUACCCUUGAAGAUGCAACAGGUUUGGCAAUUAAAGGAGAAGUGGAUGUCCAUUCUAUUUAUGCCACCUCUCUUCCUAGCUCUCAUCCAAAUUUCUCUCCUCAAAGGGUAUUGGAAAUGUCUGAGAAGUGGAAAGCCCAUCCUUUACCAAAGAUUCCUAUUCGGCUUUUCAUUGGUAUCCUGUCUGCUACUAAUCACUUUGCGGAACGUAUGGCAGUUAGGAAAACUUGGAUGCAAUCAUCAUCAAUCAAGUCUUCAAGUGUGGUAGUUCGAUUCUUUGUUGCAUUGGUAAGAUCCCCAUCGUUUGUGAAGAACUUAAUGAGUUCUAAAGUUAAAUAUAGUUAGAUUAUGGGAUCAAUUUGAUCUCUAAUUUUAGUUAGAAAUGUGCCUAGCAAAGCUGGGUCCUUAGUCUUCUCAUAGUGGGAGGAUAAUAUAAGGGUUUCAUGUUCAUAUUGGUUCUGGAAGCACAGCUUAUUAAUGGUCAUUUAACCUGUCUGGGUUGUUUGAAGACUGGUUGUAACUAUUACCACAUUUUUCAUGUGUAGAAAUGCAAACAAUUAUUAAUGCAAUUUGGUGAAUCACCUAAGAAUAAUUUAUUUAUUGGCAAUAAAUCUAUGAACAUAAACUCUCGACUUUUUCUUUUAAAAUUCUUUGACAUAAAGAAAGUUGUACAUACAAAGUUUUAGCUUCUCUGUUCCUAUCUAGUGCAUCAGUUGAUUUUUGCUGGUUUUUAUUGUUCUUGGAUAUUCAUAUAUAGUAUUCUCUUUUUAUCUGACAUUUAUGGCAUAUGUCACCGUAACAUGUUUCAUCAUAUGUGCAAUUGUUGAUCUAGUUCUAAGUGGCAAAUUGUGUUUAUUUAUUCGCUAUUGUUUUCUCCAUUCUUCUACAGCUUGCAUCCUAAAAUUAUAUUUUACACUCAAAAUUGGAAUGUAAUUACAAUUGCAGAGCCCCAGGAAGGAAGUGAAUGCAGUGUUGAAGAAGGAGGCUGCUUAUUUUGGUGAUAUUGUGAUAUUGCCAUUCAUGGAUCGCUAUGAACUAGUAGUUCUUAAAACUAUUGCUAUUUGUGAGUUUGGGGUAAGUUCACUUUAUCAUUAUCAAUCUUUUCACUGGAUCUCUUUAAUUUAAUAUUUUCAUUCUCAAGGUUCAGUUUUCUGAAUUAGUCUCAUUCUCUAUACAGGUUCAGAAUGUUUCUGCUGCAUAUAUUAUGAAAUGUGAUGAUGACACAUUUGUUAGGGUCGAGACGGUCUUGAAAGAAAUAGAUGGUAUCUCCUCCAAAAAGUCUCUUUAUAUGGGCAAUCUCAACCUGUUACAUCGUCCUCUGAGAAGUGGGAAAUGGGCAGUCACUUUUGAGGUAUCCUUCUUCUUCUUCCUUCUUUUACUUUCUUAUCUUGAUCUUCUUUUUUUGUUUUUCUUUAAAUUUUAAUUUUGACUAGUACACCAUGCCUUUUGCAUAAUCAAGUUCUGCCUUGCAGCUAUCAUUCACCAUUUUCAUCAUUGAAAGCGAAUAUUUGAAAGCACUAUGUACAUUCUGCACCAUAUGAAGAGUCUUUUUUCCUAUUUCCUAAAGUCUUGACCCUAGUUGAAUUUGGAAAUACAUAAUGUUAACAUGUAUAGGUCCAGAGCUUCACCAUAGGAAAGAUUUAUAGAGUCCCAAUCAGUAUGUGGUCGUUAUAGGUUAAGAUUUAAAAACAUGUGAUAUAAACAAAAACAUAAGGGAAAAAAAAAAAAAAAAGUUUAUCUGUGCUUUUAUGGAGCUAAAUUAAAUAAUGAAUAAACUCUUUUAAACGUUACAAAAUGUUAUUCAGAUUCAUUUAUAUAUUAUUGAUAAUUAAGGGCACUUUUGAGCUUCCACUGCAAAAGUUAAUUUAGAAGUUCCAUGUAUUGAUAAAUGACUUUCAGCAAAUAUCUAAUUGCUUGGAUUCAUAUGCUUGCAUGGCUUGACUUCAGUCUGUAAGAUGGAUUAGAACACCCUCUUUGUAUAGCCCAACGCCUAGUGGAUUUUUGAGGAUAAAAGGGGAAAAGAGAAAAUAAAGGUGUAAGGUUUUCGUGAAUAUGGUUUCCUGUAAAAAUGUAAACUAAGUGAUGUGACAAAAUCACAUCUCUUUAGAUUGUGUUUUAUUAUAUUGCACGUACUACUACUGCUACUUUGAUCUUUCUAUUAGUGACAUCUGAUAGAAACCUUGUGAGUAUGAAUUUUUUUGGAGUCAUAUUAUAGAAAUCCCUUUUUGGUCCUCAAGUUAAUUUGGUGGAACACAGCAAAGCCAAUGGCCCUUUGGCAGCAAUAAGGUACAACAUUAUGAAGGGGAUGUGAGAAGCACAUGCCAACAAGACCACAGUUUCAAGUUUACAUCAGAAGGAUUGAACGAUAAUAUAUUUUGCCAAAUUUCCUCUUCUGCCAUUUGACAUUUUAAAGCAAUUUAAUUUUUAAUUUUGCUGAAAGAAGAGGAAAGGAAAAGGAAAGUCACAUAUCUUUAUCUUUGAAAAUAACCAUGAGGCCAAGCAGUAGUACUUCAUACUCCAAAUGGUUAACAAGUCUGUUCUUCCUUUUAUACCUAUCUGUGUAUCUGAAGCUAAACUUUGUAAUAUGCAUAAUCCUACAAAAAGAUGAGUGAAGCUCGUUUCAUUUUGCCCCAAGCUAGGGAUAAAAUUGUGUAGCUGUGCAGCUUGUNNNNNNNNNNNNNNNNNNNNNNNNNNNNNNNNNNNNNNNNNNNNNNNNNNNNNNNNNNNNNNNNNNNNNNNNNNNNNNNNNNNNNNNNNNNNNNNNNNNNNNNNUAGAUUUAUAGUUGGAUGUACUUCUGAUACAUUAUGCAAUUUGAACUAGAAUAAGUAAGUAGAGUGGAACAAGAAAUGCUAUUCUACAAAAUAUCUCUAUGUUUCUGAUUUGUUCUUUCUAUUCAUAUGAUCUUUUUCACAUGUUUUAUUUAUGUCAAAAUUCUGUAACAUUUUCUCUAUAUUUUUGUUAAACUUGAAUGGAUGUUUUUCCUGGUGACAGGAGUGGCCAGAGGCAGUAUAUCCUCCUUACGCCAAUGGACCAGGAUAUGUAAUUUCCUAUGACAUUGCAAAAUUUAUUGUUGCUCAACAUGGCAAUCGAAGUCUGAGGGUAAGUUAUGUUUCCAUUAUAUCUAAUGUUUAAUCAGUAAGAGGAGUGUCUCUUUCUAUAACUAUUAUUGUUUUUGCACGCAAUUCCCCGACCCCUUUUUUCUGUUUAACUGGUUCAUAAAUGUAUAUAUUGUUAUGAUGUGGUUGCAGCUUUUCAAGAUGGAAGACGUGAGUAUGGGAAUGUGGGUUGAACAAUUUAAUAGUUCCAGGACUGUCCAAUACUCCCACAAUUGGAAAUUUUGCCAGUAUGGAUGCAUGGAAAACUAUUACACUGCGCAUUAUCAAUCCCCACGACAAAUGAUCUGUUUGUGGGACAAGCUGUCAAGGGGUCGAGCUCAGUGCUGCAAUUUUAGAUGAUAACCCUGGAUACCACCAACAGAGCCUUUAGAAGAUAACAGCAGCUCUGGCUGCAUCGUUUGCAUGUUCUUGUUUCCCACUUACAUCGUCCUUCGCAUAGCUGAUUCUUGGUCAUUUAAGUGGGUUCUAGAGAUGGCUGUGUACCAAGUCACAGCCAUCAUUUUGGGUUGAACUCGGACCGUUGGAUGCUGUAAUCGGGAAUGGUUAAUAGUUAGAUCAACGUAUAUUGGCUUGAACUAAUGUCAGGAAAAUUGUACAAUAAUUUUGUAUAUCUUUAUGAAGUUUGAUGCCUGUGUAGAGGCGAGAAGCCUCAAGAUCAAUGCAAAUUUUAUAUGAUCUAACUUCUUCCUUCAUUUCUCUAUCCGCCUGUAAAUUGGCUGCUGCAAGUACCUCCCAAGUUUGUAAGAUGACCCUAGUGCCAAUCAACCUAUAACAGAAAUGAGAGUGAGUAUGUGGUCAAGGGAUCGUGAUUCGGAUCUUUUUGUUUAAUGGGUCGGCAUCAGCUAAAUCAAAUGAAUCUGGAAUCCUAAGUAUUGAAAGAUAUUAAAAAAAGAAAAGGAACAAAAGAAACACAAGUGAACAACAUAACCCACAAAAGCUUAGUAUAAGCAAUUGCUUUGGUUCAUUCAAUCAGCAAUUACUUGAUAUAUGUGAAAUAAUAUCAUAAAAGUUCUCCAUAUGAUAUUUAACUCCUAUUGAAGGUAAAUAGAAAGUAAAAAACAAACCCAUAUUCCCCAAAUACAAUUCAUUAUAAAUAACUAUAUUCCAACCGUCUAUAUGAUUACAAAAACAACAACAACUAGUAGACAUUUGGAAACAAAGAAAAAUAAGAAAAGGUGGGUCCUAAUUCGUAAACAACUUGCAUAGGAACAGUCCCUUUUGCGAGGUUGUCACAAGCUUGAAACUACCAUUCUCCACAAGCUGAGGCUGAGGCCUGAUCCAAUCCAACUCUCUGUUUAUCACCAAAAGAAGAAAAACCCCCCACAAACAAACACGCCUUCUACACGUAGUAUCGCCGCUAGAUCCCCACGUCCUAGGCCCCAGUUUCCCCACGGUUCCAUCUACCAGUCUCAAUUUUAUGUACCUCAACUUCGCUGUCACACAGUCUAGUUGUCCACGUGCCUUUCAUAUGAUCAGCCUUCCGUUCCGAUAAACCUAAAAAAGACGUCCACUUGUUCAAUCCCAUAAAAAACGGGGUCCAACAGUUGGCGACGUUAUGGAACUACUAUUUCCCUGUCGGCAAGCUUGUAUGUUGCCACGUGUUAUUUUAUCCAAAAUAAGCGUUUAUCCUUUAGCGACAGUAUUAUUUUGUUUUCCUGGGAACUUGAGCGAAUUAAAUAAUCAUCACUCCACUCCACUUCACAAGCCAACUAGCUACUGGCUUUUGAGUAUGUAUACGGUGUCGUUUUUGGGAGGAAGUUGCCAUUGCAAGUCAUGGAAGUUAAACGGGUGAAUUGACGUGCACUGUACAGAUGGAACUGUGUAAUCAAGUGGCGAGGCGACAGGUGUGAUCAUUUUCUGUGUCGUGUAGAGGAAAGGUCGCGAUUUCAAAUCAUGUCCUCCCUCUUUUCUUUAAAAAAAAAAAAAAAAAUCAAAUACGUACUCCUUGUCGUGCAUUUUCUAGAUCACAUGAAUCAAACAUCAAUUGCGUACAGAUAAAUUUAUUUAAGAAGAUAUACAAUCACACAUAAAUCUGAUUCCAAUAUUAUGCAUUUUAAAUAUAUGCAAUAAUUUUUUAUAAGAUUGGAAAAAGAAUACAUAAAUUUCUAACUAUCAAUAUUGUAAAAACAAAUUAAUUUAUUUCCUAAAAAGAUAACCUAAUUCUUUCAUGUAAAUUCAUGCAAGUUUGUACCACUUGCAUAAAAUAGUCUCAAAGUCCAACCAACUAGGAUACUCGGAUAUGAUACUCUGCAUCAUGUCCUAGUUUUAGUUAUUUAUUUUUCUUAAUCAACUAAAAUAUAUUUUUAAUAGAAUCAGCUCCAAGAACAGCUGCAAAAGAGUAAAUAAUAAAAAUUCACUGUAUGGCCGUUUACACUAUAAUUAAUACAAUGUUCUUCCCUAAAAUAAUACUAAUUUAAUAAAAAAAGGGUUAUUUAAAGGUCUAUCAAUAAUAAAAAAAAAGGGCACUAGACGUUACGGUCAAAAUUUGCCGUUACGGACCUUAUAAGGUAAAACGAACUCUGCCGUUAGGCUAGAACAGCUGAAAGUACUAAAAAGCCCAUUUUUGUCCUGUCGAGCUCACUGUUUUCUCUUCACGUCGCAUCGUCAUCUUCUUGCUUUGCAUCAAAUUCAAAAAACAAAAUAAAAGGCUUGAAGCUGAAAAUACAGAAAGUAAAAGACAGCAAGUACCCCACAAACAAAGCAAGAAAAAAAAAAAAAAAAAAGAAACAGCCACCAAUCAAUUGCACAGCAUUUACAAUCAGAGAUUUCUUUUUGCUCACUCUCUUCUCCUUCUUUUGUUAUUUACAACCACCACCUAUCCAUCAAUGCUCUUCAUAAAUAUCUUCCAUUUCCCUUAUUUUAACGGCUACUUUUCUUGCUUUUCAUUAUUAUAACCCAGAAAACAACACAUACCUAUUUCUCAUUUCACUCAAAGAACUGUUCCUUUUGUGUUUUAGAAUAAUAUGGAUUUCUCUUCUUUCUUGACGUCCUUAGCGACGUCUUUCGUGAUCUUUCUAGUUUUAAUGUUUCUCUUUACAUGGUUAUCAAGACGACCUGGCAACGCUGUUGUUUAUUAUCCUAACCGCAUCUUGAAAGGUUUAGAACCAUGGGAAGGUGGGUCCAGGACCCGCAACCCGUUUGCUUGGAUCCGAGAAGCUAUGUCCUCCACUGAGCAGGAUAUUAUUGACAUGUCUGGUGUUGACACUGCUGUCUACUUUGUGUUCUUGAGCACUGGUUUGUUCUCUUUUGUCUUUUUUCAUUUUAGACAUAUAACAUAUUGUUUGUGCUGUUUUCAGAUCAAAUAUAUAACUUCUGUAAUGUUGUUUGGGCUUGUGCUUUUUUCGUGUAAGCUUUUGAGUUAACCUUCUCCUUUUAUUUAUUUAUUUGCCUUUGUAGAAAAAAAGGAAAAAGAAAAUUGAUUUUUUAUUCUCCCUUCUAUCUGUGUCUGUUUUGUUUGCUUACGAGGGUGUGUUGAAUUUUCUUUAAUUAAUACUUUUGGCUCUUUUUCUGCAGUCUGAAGUUUAAUUUGCGAAUAAUGGUAAUUUAAUUUUGACUCGAUACGGAAAAAAAAAAUAUUUAUGCCACUGAAUGUACUGAUUUUCAAUUUUCAAUAUCAUUAUAUUCCCAAGAAGUUUUCUUUUUCUUUCAAAAAAAAGAGAAGUACAAUUUUAUAAUUUAAUGCUGGUACCUUUAAUUUGUUUAUUAUUCAUAUUUAUUUUUUAUUUAUUAAUAAUAUACUCUGUUUCAGUCCUCAUUCUAGUAUUAGAGGCUUGAUACUUUCAGCAACUUAUAAUUAGAAGUUGUUCUUAAUUUUCUGGAAAUGGGGCGGCUAGGAUGGACGUUUCCUUCAAAGCACUUCUGGGUUUUGCAUUGCAACAGUUCUUAGCAUGAAAUAUUGCACUAUCAAAUGCAUUUCCAUUAGAGUCCCCUUUACACCAAUUUGUGAUUCCAAUGCGGACUUGAAGGUUUUAGUUUAACACCAAUGCUGAUUCUCUUUAUAUUUUGCUUAGUCAAUAGCAAACAACAAGCAGAUCAUCAGGUGAAAAUAUUAUGGCUGGCUAACUGAAAUUUCUAUUAAAUUGAUUCCGUGAUUCCAAUUUCCAAAUAUGAAAAAAGAAAGAUUAGUUUGUUCAAAUUAUAAUUCAACUAUUGGGGAGGUUUUUCUUAUUCAACUCUACUAAAUUGAUUAACCCUCUUAAAAGAGUGAUGUAGUCUGACAAUACACUGAUAUUUUGUUGCAUUUAUGUAAUUAUGCCUUUAGAGGCGAUUCAGUAAGGUGGGUUUAAAGCUCCGAAGCUUGCUGUCACUUUUUGAUGGUUGGAGGAUGGAGAAAUGUUUAGUUUAAGAAACCCACUGUUCAAAGUUAUUUGGAAGGUCAAUUAUGUUUAAAUUUCUCCAUCUAAGAACUUUAUAUUGUCAUUGUUGUCUCCACUACUUAUAAUUUAUAGUUAUCGCUUAAGCCUUAGCUUGGUAAAAUACUUGAGUGGGGGAGGGUGCCUAAUAAGGGCAGGGUUGCUUAGCUAAAAGAGAACUUUAAGGGACGGAGAGCUUCUUGACUACCUUAAGCUAUCUUUUCUGCUAUUCAAAUAAAAACUUGUAACAAAAUUUACCUAAGAGAGCAUUUGUUACCUGUAUAAAACUCUCCCGUGAAUGGUUUUGCUUGCCUGUCUUGCAUUUUCUGGGGAGGAACUUGACUUGUUAGAUUGCCUUGUACUUUGCACAUUGAACAAGAAGAUGUUCAUUUAAAUGCAGUCUCUCUCUGUGACACACAUUUGUACUUGUGCAUAUGCAUGUGCUUAUAAUUCCUUAUCAGGGCAAUUUGCUGAUUUUAAAUGACUGAUAAGAGAUCUGCUUCUUGGGAUGAAGCAGAUUCAACUAUGUUGAUUGAAGCUUUAAGUUGAGUAUUAUACCACAUCCCUCAAGGCAAUAAGCAAUUUGUUGUUUUACAGAGAAAUGUCAUUUCUUAAAUGCUUGAUAUUAAUAUAUGGCCCUUUGGAAUAAUGUUUGAUGCUCCUUUCUUCUAUGAACAUGACAGUAUUGUCAAUAUUGGUGCUAUCUGGCAUCAUUCUACUACCAGUUCUUCUUCCCGUUGCUGCUACUGAGAAAAAUGUGACAGCGACAAAUUCUACAAGCGAGGGGAGUUUCAAUGACCUUGACAAGUUGUCCAUGGGCCAUAUUAAUGUAAGCUCUCAGCCAUUUCAUAAGCUGUGAGAUGACUUGCCUUUUAAUUUUCAUUCUAUUGCAGUUUUUUUUUUUUUUUUUUUUUUUUCUCUUAAUAAACUGUGACAUAACACAACAUAUGUACUCUACAUAUAAAAUGUUGUGUCUCUCUGCUUACCUGCAGGAGAAGAGUUCGAGGCUGUGGGCUUUCCUGAUUUCUACCUACUGGGUUUCUCUUGUCACCUAUUUUAUGUUAUGGAAGGCGUACAUGCAUGUUUCUGGGCUGAGAGCUACUGCUCUGAUGUCCCCCGAAAUCAAACCUGAGCAAUUUGCUAUUCUUGUAAGGGACAUACCUGCUGUUGCUGAGGGCCAAAGUAGGAAGGAACAGGUGGAUUCGUAUUUUAAAUCUAUCUACCCAGAUACGUUUUACAGAUCCAUGGUGGUCACUGAAACUGAUAAGGUAUUGCAUCAAGAUUUUUCUUGUCAUUCUUUUGCACCUUAUCCGUAGUGAUUUCAAUUGAACUUCUAAGCUGAUCCUGCUGUUCCAAUUGGGUGAUACUCUCACUUAUCCUUCCACCAUGAGCUUUCAAGUUCUGUGUUACUAUUCUAUAAUAUAGAGAGUUUGUUGAUAUUGUUACAAUGUAGUUUGAGGAAGCGGCUUUUAAAUUAUCCCAAACAUGUUGGCAUUUAAGAGCCUAAAAGCGGAUGGAUAAUGUCAGAUGGUUCCAAUUCUUUACCAUGUCAAUUAUGUGUUUCCUGAUAAUUAUGUUGGUGUAUGCUAUAUAAGUUCUGCUGAUCUCAAGCUACCAUAUCUACUAGGUUAACAAAAUCUAUGAAGAGUUGGAAGGGUACAAGAAAAAGCUUGCACGCGCAGAAGCGAUAUAUGCUCAGUCCAAAGAAUUAGGCAAACCAGAAGGAUCAAGACCAACCACCAGAAUUGGCUUCCUUGGUCUGAUUGGUAAAGAAGUAGAUAGCAUAGAAUACUUCAAUGAGAAGAUUAAGGAACUGCUGCCAAAGUUGGAAGCUGAACAAAAAGUUACCCUACGGGAGAAGCAACAACCGUCUGCUCUGGUCUUUUUCACUAGCAGGGUGAUAGCAGCCUGUGCAUCACAGAGUCUGCAUGCCCAAAUGUCGNNNGCAUGCCCAAAUGGUCGACACAUGGACAGUCAUGGAUGCUCCUGAAGCUCGUCAAGUAAUAUGGUCCAAUGUUAAAAUUACGUUUUUUCAGAGACAAAUACGACAAUACGUGGUGUAUAUCAUUGUGGCUCUGACCAUAUUCUUUUAUAUGAUACCGAUUGGAUUUAUUUCUGCAUUAACAACGUUGGCCAAUUUGAAGAAAAUACUUCCAUUUCUAAAGCCAGUUGUGGAUAUUGAUGCAGUCAAGACUGUGUUGGAAGCUUACCUACCUCAGCUUGCACUGAUCAUCUUUUUGGCAUUGUUGCCCAGUUUUCUUAUGUUUCUCUCCAAGUUAGAGGGAAUUCCUUCAGUGAGCCACGCUGUAAGGGCUACAUCUGGAAAGUACUUUUACUUUACUGUGUUGAAUGUUUUUUUAGGAGUUACACUCAGUGGCACCUUAUUUAGUGCCUUCAAGAAAAUUCAGAAGGAUCCCAAUUCCACUGUUACCUUGCUAGCAGAUGGCCUCCCAGGCAAUGCAACUUUCUUCCUGACCUUUGUGGCUCUGAAGUAAGAUUACUGUUGCUAUUUUCUUUUUCAAAAAGAAUUCCUCUAACAUUGCUAAACCAGAAUAAGAGAUGGAUAUGAAGAGAAUUUCCUAUGUUAAUGCCUUGUGCUUUAAAGAAUAUCCUAUUCUUUGUUGACAUUGUUCUAUAAAUUAUUACUAUUAUUACGAUGACAAUAUGUUCUCUAUGUAAUGUUUUAACUUUCCUGUAUUUCACUAUUCUCAGAUUCUUUGUUGGAUAUGGUCUUGAGCUGUCUCGUAUAGUUCCAUUAAUCAUAUAUCAUUUGAAGAGGAAGUACCUUUGCAAGACUGAAGAUGAAUUGAAAGAAGCUUGGAAACCUGGGGAUUUUGGGUAUGCAACUAGAGUUCCUGGUGAUAUGCUUAUCAUUACAAUCGUCCUCUGCUACUCUAUCAUAGCUCCCCUUAUUAUCCCAUUUGGAGUGGUGUACUUCGGACUUGGAUGGCUUGUUCUUCGAAAUCAGGUAAUGUCCCUUAAUAGCUUGUGUGCUUGAUUCUACAAAGAGAUCUCAUUGGCGUGGCAACAUGUGUUCAUUGUAUGUUAUUGAUUGUGUAAUUAACAGGCACUCAAAGUAUUUGUUCCAUCCUUUGAGAGCUACGGAAGGAUGUGGCCUCAUAUUCAUACACGGAUUCUGGCGUCUCUAUUGUUGUUCCAAGUUACGAUGUUUGGUUAUUUUGGGGUGAAGAAAUUCGUAUUUGCUCCAUUUCUACUCCCACUUCCCAUAAUUACCUUGAUCUUCGUCUUUGUCUGUAGGAAAAAAUUCUACAGAUCUUUCUGUAAUCCAGCUCUUGAAGUUGCUUGCCGUGGAUUGAAGGAAAUUCCAAACAUGGAACAGAUCUUUAGAUCCUUCAUCCCACCAAGCUUAAACUCCGAGAAAAUUGACGACGACCAGUUCGAAGAUGCAUUAUCACAAAUUUCAAGAAUGGGGUCAUUUGCUUGAUGUACAAAUAUCCAUCUGUUGCCACUUAGGUUCUGUUAUUUCCCACUUUGUGUUUUUUAAGGAUAGAACGGGAUAAUUCGUUAGUUAUUUGUAACAUAGCUAGUAUUUCUCCUAUCUUUCUUUUCGUAUAGCAUAGUUUGGUGGUUCCAACAGUUGUUUAGAGAAUAUAUUUAAGGACCUCAAUGAUAUCUUUCUUUUGUUUUAUUCAUGACUUAAAGAAACUGACAGAAAUAGAAAAACAAAACCCUUAGCAUAUAUGUGAUCAAAGAUCACAGAUUCUAUCCAUCCGAAAACCUGGUUGAAUCCAAAGGGUUGAACUAGGAUGAGCAUCAUCUGCAUCCCCUGAGGAGUGGCUUAACUGGAUCAUCCCACAAAUUGGAAACAACCCUCACAUUCCAAAAGCAGCAAUUGAAUUGUCCAAAAUAUAUAUGCAAUUAGGCUUACAUCCUUUUGAUGAAAUAGAGAAAGAUGAACUACCAUUUCUCAAGAACAAAGUUUGGUUUCCCAAGUUGCUGGAUUUUUGUUGAUGUUCUGUUGUAGGAUUUUAGUCUACUGGUGCUCUUUGGAUAUUUGUCGGUUGAUGGAUAUGGGUAAGAGGGAAGAAGAGCUACUGGAGUUUUGGUGGAGCAUAGGUCGCAGUCGUUGUUGAUUCGGCUCCACCAUGCAUGAUGGUCAGGCCAUUGAUUGUGGGUCAGGCAUCUAUACCAUUUCUAAGAUCCUUUUAUGUUUGUGAUUCAUUAAAGAAAAGCUUGUGCUUUUUGUUGUUGAGACUCGAGGACUGGAGAUACAAUAGAGAUUUGAUGCUGUAGAAAUGUGUGUUCUCUGGCUUCAACUGUCAUCGAAUCUCUUGGGAAAACAUAUGGAACUUCUUCGGUGAUAAAGUUUUGUAGCCAGAGACUAGUUAGCUUUAUUUCAAGGAUGGAGGAUAAUCUAAGACAAACAGAAAGAAAAUAACAAGAGAAAUAGUUUUAAUUGUGUUUAAUAAAAAAAUUUAAAAGGGGGAGAAAAUUAAAGAUAUUCUUUUUUAUCAGUUAAAAUUAAUUAUACUCUAAUUAAAAGAGUUUGUCAUCAUAAACAUAAAUCAAUUUUGACUGUUAGAUUUAUUUUUUUAAUUUUAGCCAUUCAAAUAAGCCAAAAAGAUUUCAAUAUAUUUUUAGAAUAUUAAUAAAUAAAUAUAAAAUAUCAAUAUUGAAAAAAUAUUUAUUUUUCAUAUAUUAUCAUUAAUAAAAUUUAACAUUUAUAUUUUAAAAUAUUAUUAAUUAAUAAAACUAAUUCAAGUUAAUUAUAAAAGUAAUGAGUACUUUUUUUCACUGAAUUUAUUCAUUUUUCUUAUUUUGAAAGUUGACUCGAACUCGUGACCUUCACUUAUAAUUAAGUGUUAUAUACCACUUGACUACCUAUUAUUUCUAUUUAUAAUUUUAUUGUUAUUAAUAAUAUAUUGGAUUUAAAAUUUGAAUAUUUGUGUUGAAAUUAGGUUUAAAUUUUGAAUAUUUGUAUUGAAUUGUCGGUUUGGUCAAGCCAGGCCCGAUCCGAGCCGCCCAGAUCCGACCUCUAUUUAAUGCCUAGUCGGACCGAUCGGGCCGGGCCGGGCUUUUCAUAAAAUUUCGGGCUCGGACUCGAACUCUAAGAUAUUAAANNNCCAGGCCUGACCCAUGAACAGGUCUACUCAAAGCUUACUUCACACUUUAUCAAAUACUUCAAAUUAAUUGUUUAGUAUAUUUGUUAUAUAUAUUUAACAAAUUGAUAUGAUAUAUAUUUGACAAUAAUUGAUAUUAAAAUAUAUUAAUUAUUUAUUUUCUCAUUAUCAUUAAAUAUAUUUUUUGACCUUAAAUUAACAUAAUUAUUGUAGGCAUACAAAUUUUCUGCAAAGAAUUUAAAAUAAAUUUCCCAUAUGGAAACACAAAUGUGCAAAAAUAGAUUAAGUUUAAAUUUGAAUUAAAUUUUAGAAUUUAAUAUGUUAAAAUAUAAUAAAAACUAUAAUUUUAAAAAAAUUUAUAUUAUUCGUUAACCAUCAAUCUUUAAUCACAAAUUAUUAGUAAAGACUAAAUUAAAUUAAAUUUAAUUAAUAAUAUUGAAUCAAAUUAUCUAAGAAUUUUAAAUUUAAUAAAAUAGAUCAUAUAUUCUCUUAUCUUAUUCUAACUCAUAUUUGUGUUAGACUAGUUUUAUAUCUUGAAAUUAAAUGUGAUAUAAAUUGUCUAAAAUUUUGACAUUUAGAAAAAGGAAUGAUUUGUUUAAAACUAUAUAUUAACAACAAAUAGAUGAUAAGUGAUUUAGUUAAAUUUAUUGAAGAUAUUCAUAUUUAUAUUUUUUUUUGUACAUACUAAUCUUUUGAAUAGUAAUAAGUAAUAUUUAAAUAAGCAUUUAUCUUGUAAACCCAAAAAUAGUCAAUAAAAAUAUUACUAGAGUAAUAAUAGGACAUAUAUAAUAUUAAACUAUUAAUACAUAUUUAGUGCUAAAAUUAUAUUAAAUAAUAAUCUUAGAAAAAUGAUUGAUAUUCAUUGAAUCAGUGUGAUAUUAAAUUUUAUGUAAAUAUUUUGAUUUAUUUGAAAUAUUAUCCAAUAUAAUAUUAGAUAAUAUUUUAUAAAAAAAAUUUAGGAAAAAGAUUAAGAAACUUUAUUAGUGGUAUAUCUAUUAGUAAAAUUAAAAAAUAUAUAUUAAGAAAGAAAUUUGGUUUGGCAACAAGAUUUUGAUUACAGGAUACAAAUUGACAAAAAUUAAUUGGAUUUCUUAAAAUAAAUUUAUAAUAAAAUAAAAAGAACAAAAAAUUAGUAAAGAUUAAACACUUAUAUAUUUUAACAAAAUUAGAUAAAAAUAUUUAAAUAUUUAAAUUUAGUUUAAAUUAAAUAGAUAAAUUCUAUUAUAUAUAUAGGACUUAUCCAUAUUUUUAAUUUUAAUUACAUGUUAACCUGUUUGAGUUAUUAUUAGAGGUAAAAUUAUUGUGGCACCGAUAUUAUAAGGCAUAGAAUCAAUUGCCCAGUUAAAAAUAUAAAAAGUUUCACCUCAUACAAAAACUAAAAUCUAAUUGAAUAUUCCUUUUUAUCUCUAUUAUUGUAAUAAAAAAAUUUAAAGUUAAUUAAUUUCACUCUCUUUCUCUUAAUAAUUAUUUUUAUGGAACCAAAUAAUUAAUUUUUUUCUUUAGUUUUUCUUAGUUUCCAUAUUUAUCCUUAGUUUAUAUUAAUUUUAUUGUUCAAAACUGAAUAAAUUUUCUAAAAUUGCUCUCAAUGAAAUGUUUUAAAUAUUUCAGUAUAAAAAUAAAUGGAUAUAUAUUUAUGCACAUUUUAAAUUUGAAGAAACAUUAUGUUUGAGAAUAUAUUGGAAAUAUAAAACUGAAUCUUAAGUAAUGAUUAAUCUUUUAAAUAAAUGGUUAUUUAAUAUUUAGCAUAAAGUUUUUUUGGAGUUAUCUUAUUAAGUAAAUUUGUUGUAAAACCUUUUAUGGUUGUCUAAAGGUAAGGAGUGGCCGCUGUAAAUGGCGGAAUGCAUAUUUAAUAAUUAAAUUUUGAUAAUGUAGUUAUUCUAAUAUUUUAACUUUUAAUUUAAUUUAUUAUUUAAAUUCUAUCUUUUAACUUCACACUUUAAAUUUUUGAAUUAUUUAACAUGCACUUGAAUUUAUUUUUUAAUAAUAUUUAAAUAUUUAUGAGUAGUACAUAUGAAUAUAUUAAAUGAAAAUAUAUGUGAAAAAAUAUUUAAAUAUAAAAAAGUAAAUUAAAAUAUCUAUUAAAUUAUAUAAAAUAUUAAAAAAUUAAAAUAAUACUCGUCUCCAAAUAUGCAUUUGCCCAAAUAUUACCUAAAAGUUCAUUCAGGUUGGCGUCCAUUUGAUUGCUGUUAUCCUGAUGGCCCAGAAGUUCUUGACUCACACCUAAUCCAAUCGCCUAGUGAAUAAAAAAUAAAAAUCUUGGCGUUGAUAAUCCAAACUAAAAUAAAAACACUUGGAACUGAAUUUUGUACAAUAAUUUAAUGAAAUCAAUCUCAAUUACUAUUAUGAGGAAAAAGCUCAAUCAAAUUAAGGACCUUUACAUUCAACCCAAAAAAAAAAAAAUGAAGGAGAUGGAGAAUUUAUCCAUUCCAUGGGACACAUAUGAACUAAAAUGAAAGAUCAAGCCUGGAUAUUUCAGAACUGAAUGGAGAAGGAAUGUCUUCAGCCACUCUACUUGGCUUAACCCAUCUACCAUAUUUGUUCAACACAAGUCCUUUAUGUGGCAACUGGUACCAAAAUUCUGGUAUUUUUAGCUCCUCUAUCAGCAUAUUAGUACUCUUAUUCACCAAUGCCAAAUCUCUCCUAGCAUUCCAUCUAUAGUUCAAUUUCUUGCCUAAAAAUCCAUCCAACAGAUGAAGGUAUACUUCUAAAUUAUGAGACCCAGACAUGUCUGACUCCUGCUUCAAGUAAGGUGAGAUGAACAUAUCAAGCUUCAAUUGGGUUCCUACAUGCCUAUAAACCCAGUUUAAUUUAUGAGUGAUUUUGCUAAGCUUGUUAAGAAUUUUGUUCACUAUAAUCCCAGGAAGUUUUGGGACUAUAUCUUGCUUAAUAACCACGCGAAGAGUCUUUACCCCGAGCUCAUUAAGCUUCUCUUUAAAUGCAAGGUUUCCAACUCUUGGUGCGCCAAAAGAAAUGACACUAAUGAAAACAUUGGGAAUUGAAGUUGCAGCCUCAUAUGCGUUGAGAAGUGCUAAUGCACCUCCUAGGCUAUGACCUGUAAGUGUUAAGCUAACCUCUUCACCAUUUUCUCUGUAAAGAUUGACUAGCUUUUUCAAUUCUUUCAUAACUUGCUCAGAUGCACUUAACUUAUUAUACCUCGUUUCCUCACUUUUAGAUUUGUAUAUGCUAAGGAACCCUUCUUGUACCUUAACAUGAUUUUUCUUAUGAUCUUGAUCUUCCUCAAAAUACUCAAGAUCUGUCCUCAGGUCAUUAUACCAUUCUGUCGGUGCCACUGUGCCCCGCCACGCCACCAUUAUGUCUCGCCGCCCAAUUCUUUGUGAUUCCUGAUCAUUGCUCACCGCGACAAAUCCCAUCCAAUUUGAAUCUUUGCUCCAUGUAGUAUGCGUCCUAGCAAACCAUUCAGGCACAUCAACAUGGGACAUGGCAUAAAUGUACUUGGUCGCUCUGUAGCCAUGUUUUGUAAGGCCUAGUUCCUCAAAGAUCUUGUGCCGGUUAUACAAGCAGCUCCCACAGUACUCGGAUAAUGGAUCGAAAUCGAAGGCAUCAUAAGUUGCUUCGACGAAUUCUCCGUACUUGACAACUUCUCGUCGUAGCCAAGGAUGGAGAGGGUCAAGAAGGUUCUCCCAAUUGCGAGAACCAUGAAUUUCUUGCCAUCUUGAGGAUAUGUUCUCUUUGGGAGAUAAUGUAGGAGUCAUUUGAUCUCCUCGGUCGAUAAAAUCCAAGGCCGUACGGGGCACGAGAAGAUGUGCUAGUGUUUUGUGGGGAUGACAAUCACCAUUCUUCUUUGUUUUCGUUGCUAGUUCCUGAUGGAGUUUAAAGGUGGAAAGCUGUUUCAUGUUGCCUGUACAGCUUAAACGAAGACGAUGCUUGCUUGUAAAAGCCUUCUUGAUAGCUCGCCAUGUGACAGUAAGCUUCAACUUCCAUAUCCUUCUAGCUUUUCUGGACAUGGUUUUCUUUGUCGCGACAGGUUGUCUUAAUGGUGACAUCUCCAUGGUGGAUUUUAACUUUAGAAAUAUGUAUAGAAUAUGGAAAUGGAAGUAAAGAAGGUCGUGUUUAUAUAGUAGCAAGUAGAGAGCGUGAUUGACUUGUAAAUUCAAGCACGAUGGCUUACGCUCUUUCUCGGAAACGAGUGACCCUCAAGAUUAGACCACCAAAUAAACAUACGGACACAGUUGAUCAUUGGCUUCUUCUCCGUAAAUGUUUCAUUCGUAGGGAGAGUGGUAAGUCAUGUGUACGGAACCGGAAAUAGCAGCAGAAAGUUGGACCGGUACGACAUUUGAGGAUUUAUUUAUUUAAAGAAAGACCGGGCAAAUUUGACCCAAAUAUUCUCAUUUUAGACCGAUGGCGACUUUUCCAACUAUUUUUCUUUUUAUUUUUAUCAGAACUUUCCAAUUAAUUAGGCACGAAUUAGCAGCCACCAUUUGUAUGUAAUGUAAAUGUAUAUAUAUAUGGCUUUAAUCUUUUAGUUAGUUAAUUAAAUUAAUUAAUUAGUUAAUUAACUUCUAGAUGAGCAUCAUAAAGAAAUUUCAAUAUGCAAGGCUUUAGAAAGUUUUAAUUAGGAAGUCUCUGAGUCCCUUUUUCUUUUCUUCUUUUUGGUUGGUGUUAUGUUAUGCCUGCAUAUUAGAUUUGUGCCUUCCAGAUAAAAUGCAUUAAUAUAAUUCAAACAAAAGUAAAAGUAUGAGAAUUGAAUAGAAUAAAAAAAAAAAUUUAGAAGGUGAAUAAAUUAAAAUUAAGAAUUCAAAGACUUAAUGAUAUAUUUUACUAAAUAUAUGUGUAUCUUUUUAUAACUAUAAAAUAAUAAUGAUGCAUUUCUUUCUAUAGCUAUAAACGAAGAAAUUAUGAAUAAGACUAGUCAACUCUUGGAUUGAGAAAGUCUCAAAUUAAAAGGUAUUUAAAUGGGAUAGUCAGAAGAAGAGACAGAUUCACAGGGUUGGCCAUCUCAUUAAUUAAAGAAAGAUUAGCAAAAAUAUAAUGCAUUGGUUCUAAAACUGAUGUAAAUAAUAUUCAAGAGGCUAUAGUUUAUAUAAAUUGCACAACUGCUCUUGGUUUUCUUGAUUUCGAGUGAUGUGAGAGCGAAUCAAUGCAAUUUCUUAAGAAAGAAGCAAAAUGUGUUAGGUGGCAAAGUGAGUGUGCAACUCCGCAAAUGUUUAUAAUACUAAAGCUUUGUUCUCUGUUUUUUCUUUCAUAAUGUAUAUAGAUUCAGUUGAUAUGCCAUAGAAUUUUGUCUUUAUUUAUUUCUUUAUUUUUCUUUGUUGUAUCCUUUUUGUUGGAGUUGGGAACUUAUGGUACUGUGGAUUAGUUUUGCGACCAAGUUGUUUUUCCUCAGUUUUUGGUAAACGACCAUAACUUCUCAACACAAGCCACUGUUUCAUGGAUCCAAAUCUUCGGCUUAAUGCUAUUUGCCAAUCUUAAUAGUCCACCACUUGUGUUGUGUUGGACAAACACAGGCCUCUCCGGCAUAAGCAGCAUUACUAUGUUAUGUUCUUUUGCUCACAUCGCAUAAUGGCUUCAGUAGAUCAACAGUUGUUGUUUCAGUUGUCCCUACAGUAGCACAAAGAUGAAACCAGCUUUGACAUUCAGAACAAAUAAUGAAUCUGGAGAUAGAGCAAACGAUGCUGACAUACUUGUCUCAAUGGCGCGAAAAUUCUCAGGAUGGAUUCCAGCAAUUCUCUCCUUUCCUACAUGGCUUAUAGCUUUUUAUCUCUAGCAGCAACGAGAGUGCAUAAAUGGCUUCACACGUAGUACAUUGUAUAACACCGCCAUCAUUUCCUGAGAAGAGGAACUCGGUAAUCUUAAGCAUUUCUCCGAGCCAAUCCUUUAGAAUGUUUUCUAGCUCAGUUGCAGCUGGUGAUGAUAUCCAGUAUUCUGAUAAUGGUUAGCAAUAAAAUAUACAAUCAUGUGCCCUGCCUUCUGAGUUUCCUCGGAGUCUAAAGGAUUCACUGGUUCAUUGUUGCAUAAAGAUUUUUCUUCAAAUGAUUCUAGGCAGGACUCUCGAGGCUGCUCAAACUCAUUUGAAAUGGAAAGGAUAGAGAAUUUGAGAGGGUUAGAGGUUGAUUGAGGCUUGUUGUUGGUGCAUUUAUAUAAUGAAAUUGUGCAAGUUGCAUGUAGAAAUUAAAGUCCAGCUUCGUAUAUUACGCAGCUUAUUAAUCUAGCAUCAUUAGGGGAGACUAAAAUGUACAUAAUAAUUCUAUUACCAUUAUACAUAUACAACUUAUAGAAAAAAAAUACAAUUUUUUUAUUUAAGAAUUAUAUUCAUUAAAAUUAGUGAAUUUAUGAUACGAACUUUAGAAAUGAUAAACCGAAUAGAAUAUAAUAUAACAUGACAAAAAAUUUUAAAAAAUAGUAAUUACACCUAAUUAAUUCCAUUAUUUUCAAAAUAAAAAAUUUGUUGUUCGAAAAUAAUAAAUAUGUUUUUUUUUUAAAAAAACAACACUUUGUAUUAACUAUGUUACAAGGACAGAUAUUAAUGCAGCGAACUAAAAUUUCUCAUUUUUAAAUAACAGAUAAUCAAAUAAUUAUAGCUGCCAAGUGGCAGUAGAUAAAAGCAAUAGCUAUCUUGGUAGAGCAACUUGUGUAUUUCAAUAUUUUUGAGAUAAAAUAAUCUAUGGUUCAAAAGCAACCGUUGGAACCACCAUCGAGAUAUAUACACUACCAGACCUGCUGAAGAUAUAUAACCCUUAGGACACCAACAAUUCUAUAAGAUAGAUUUGUAAUGUCAGAACACUUUCAAUUUCAAGAAAAAUAAUAAUAAACCCGAAUGAUAGAUUUUUAAUUCGGUGUUAUAUGACAAUUUAUUUUACCUAUAAUAGUAGAUAUAAAAAUAAUAAUAUUUUUGUAUUCAUUUAAUUGAUAAUUACACUAAUGGGUUAAUUAUGAAAGAACUUGAACCUUUACUACUUAAUGCAAUUGGGUGUAUUCUUUUAAAAUUACCAAACUAGACCAUAUUUGUAAAAAUAAGUCCAAUGUUGACCCAUUACCUAUCUUCACUAAAAAUUGAAUAAGGUGAUAAAUGAUGCACAACUAACUUUCUUUAACCCAAUUCAACUCUUCAUCCACACAAUCAAUAGAUACAUGAUCAGAGCCAGGGGAGAGAGCAGUGAAGAAAAAAGAUACUAAAAUCCCUAAAUCUCAUAUGUGUUUAAAGAAUUUGAUAAAUAAUAAUAAUAAAAAAAGAAAUAUAUGUGUUUAAUGCAUUAAUACUCACAUUAAUACACGAUAAGUUACAUGGAAUUCACAUAAGCAAAUGUGAUAUCUUCAUAUACAUAGUCACAACUCCAAUAAGAGAAUAUCAGCUAAAGACAUACCUAAUAAUUCACUCUACUCACAUACAAUAAUUCACUCCACUACUCCACUCACAUGCCUAAUAGGACAACAUACAAUAAUUCACUCAUAUGCCUAAUAAUACACUCUUCUUACUAAAGCAACAAUGACAACUCCACUCUCAAAGCAAUAAUUCACUUAAAGUAAUAGGAGUGGCCGACAACUUCACAUGCUUAGAAAAUAUGAUCAUAUUGAUCAUCAUCCAUUGGCUGUGAAUCUUGCAUGAGAGCUUCUUGUUGUGCCCUGGUUAAGGUAGGAUCAUCCAGUGGGGUCGGAAGAUCAGAGAAACAGAAAUGUUCAAUGGAUUGUCCAGUUGAUUGAUGUCCAUUGAAUGUGCAUACUAAUGGUGUUGAGACAUUAGCCAUCCUUGAUUCAUUUCUGUAUUGCAGGGCCUGUUUUAGGUCUUCUGUGAUUACUGGCGAAGCAAGAUGGUAACAGAUAUUCUGGGUUGCAUAUGUGUUUUCUGUCAGUCGGAGAUAGGGCCUGUGUAAUAUGAAAAUAGCAUGGUAUUCCGAAGCUUUGGAAAUGUUGUCUGAGAAUAACCGACGCUCAUGGAUAAGUUUAAGGAGAUCUCCUGUCCAUUGAUAUGGAGUUUUGAACCAGGUAAGGAAUCUCCAUGGAUAUGACCCCGAGUUUGCUUCAUUGUUGAAGAAGUGUAAAAGAUUCAUAAUGGGCACUUCUAUAGCAUGAUGACAGACUGUAGAUAGGCACCAUAGGAACCAUAACUCACUUUCAUGCUUUGGAUGUUCAGGAGAUAAGUGAUAAAUCAGACACCAGGGGUAGUCUGGAAAGAAGAAGUUGGGUUGUAUUGGGAGUGAGAAGGUUUGUUGAAAAGUUGCCAGAUAAUGGAACAUCAUGUUCCGGGCAAAGUCAGUGACUUGUUUGGUUGUGAGGUUGUUGGGAAGAUCUGGUGGUGAAGGAGGUUGCAGGUUGGUUCUGGAAGAUGAAGAAGCCAUAAAAAUUAUGGGAAGAUUUAUGGUAGAGGUGAGAAGGACUAUAGGCUGAUUUUGAGGUUUGGAAAGUCUGGAUAAGAAAUCCGGUAUUAGAUUUCUUGUCCCUUUUAUAUGCUCAACUGUAAAGUCAUACCUGAUGAACCAUGAUUUGAGCCGUAAGAGCUGAGGCUCAGGUAAGACCUUCUGGUUGGAUUCAAGGAUCUUUGGGAAGGAGGAGUUAUCCAUCCGAAUCAGGAAAUGCUGUCCAAUCAAGAAGAAUUCAAACUUCUUUAUCCCAUUUUUGACCGCCAAGAUUUCCUUGUAGAUCGUGUGAUAGUGCUUUUCUGAGGAGGAAAACUAACCCGAUGCAUAACCACAUAAUUGUUCCUUGUCGUGGAGCUUUUCUAGAAGGAUGGCCCCCCAUGCAUAAUCAGAUUCAUCAGUUUGAAGAAUAAGUUCUCCUGUGGACGGGAUUAUGAGAGGUGGUGGAUUAUGGGCCAUCUCUUUUAACUUUCUGACAGCUGUUGUUUGUUCCGCUCCCCACGGAGGAGGGUCCUUCUUGAGCAUCUUUGAGAGGUGGCACAUUUAACUAGACAGGUGUGGAAUGGCCUCUCGAACAUAGUUCAGGAUUCCAAUGUACUGUUGAAUUUGUUUCACUGAAAGAUUUUCUUCUGGGAAGUGAUGAAGUUCCUUCGUCAGAUGGGGACCAUAUGUGUAUUGGCCAUUCUUGAAAUGCAUACCGAGAAAUUCAAUUUCUUGUUGGCCAAUAGUGCUCUUCUUUUCUGACAGCAUGAUGUCAUAUUUCUGAAUGAUGGCGAGAAACUGUUGUAACAAUUGAUGGUUUUCCUCUACUGCCUCCGAGAAUAGGAGAAUAUCAUCGAUAUAGAUCAAAGAAGAGUAAAGGAUAGGCCCAAAAAUCUUAAUCAUGGUCUUCUGGAAUUGAGAUGGGGCCGUCUUGAGCCCAAAAGGCAUAACAGUCCACUGGUAUUGGGCAUUAGGGAUACAAAAUGCAGUCUUGUAUCUCUCCGUGGGCUGGAUACCGAGUUGCCAAAAACCCGCCUUUAGGUCAAAUUUGGAAUAGUAUUGGGCAUUUUGGAUAUGGACUUUGAGAUUUGAGAUCCGAGGAAGAGGAAAUUUGUUGUCUUAAAGGAAAUGGUUUAAGGGCUUGUAGUCUAUGACAAGCCUCUUUUUUCCCCGAAUCUUUUCAGACCUUUUUUCCACAUAAAAGGCUUGGCAAGCCCAUUGUAAAGUAGUGGGUUCAAUUAGCCUUGCUGUAACAGUGUCAAGCAUUCUGAUCGGGCAAGGGCUAGGUCUGUGGGUGAAAUUCCCAUGUGUGUGGCUUUAGUAGGGUUAAUAUCUUUAUUAAGUUUGAAGGGGAGGCUGAUAUAGAAUUGUGGAUUUUUCCACAGAGGAAAAGGGUGCUGAAAAUGUGAAUGAGAUUUUGGACAGAACUGAAGGAAUUUUUCUGUGUAUGGUAGGAAUGGUGGAACUGUAUCUGUCACAGAAAAUAGAUUUGAAAUUUUAGUGUAUGGCCGAAAUUGUCUCUUGAACUUUAUGCCAGUUGGGAGAAUUUGGAGCUUUUGAGCUUGAUGAUAAACAUCAAACCCUAUCAGGAUAUCCUUGUUUGGAAGAUCCGAACCAAUGAUGUGCGUCCAUACCACGCAAUCAGGAAAGAACUGUAUUCCGAUCUUCUGUCUUGUGAUCAGAGUGGUUUUGAAGGUUUGACCAUUGGUUGCCCUAAAGAACUGAUCAUGGGGCUUCCAAUACUCUGAUGGGAGAACCAUUGGGUUCAUCAUGCUUCUUUAUGCUCCAGUGUCAAAGAAAGCUAUUACUGGUACAGGCUUGGAGUAUUUUGAAGGUAGGAUCUGUAUGGGAAUAUAUGGAACUGGAGGGGGUUUUGUAGUAAAUUGAAAAGUUUCAGGAGGUGGAGAAGAAGCAAAGAAAGAAGACAGUAGGGUUGGAGAGAGAGGAUAUUGUAUUACAUCUUUCAGAAUAUUCUCCUGACUUUCUUCGUGCAGACCAAUCAUCAAGAUUGGUAUCUCACUAUCGUCUGAGUCUAAAGAAGAUUCUUGUGAGGACUCUGUGGAGUCUGAGAACUCUAUUUCUAACCCAAAUAAGCUUUCUGGGGUAAGAUCCUCUUGCUCUGAAAGUAGAGAUUCUAUUUCUGCUUCAAAAGAGUCUGGAAGAGAUAAAGACAUGCUGACUUGUUGAAUCAUCUUUGCUGACUUUUCUGGAUUCUUAGGACAAUUUUUUACAUAGUGUCCCUUUCUUUUACAGAUGAAACAUCUAUCAGACUUGUACCCUUGAUUCCGUUUCUUACGGAAGUAUUUGAAUCUCUUUGGGUUUUUUUUCCUGAACUCCUUGUUGCUGCGCGUGUAUUUCUGGAAAUGAUGUCCAGACUUCUUCUUAUGAUUUGAACAGACGCAGUUGGCGGCUUUGCACUUAAUCUUAAGGUAGUUCUUGUUGCAAGCCUUUUGGACUAUCAAGUCCCUUUGAGAUAACCUUUUGAAUAACUCUUGUUGAUCACACAGUCUCUUAAUGGAAGAGAGUGUGAAUUGCCAGAUUUCGCCAAGUGUAAUAGAGGUGACUGGUCUCUUUGUUGCCGCAAUCAUAUUGUUGAUCUCAGGUUGUAUUUCAUCCGGCAGAGAGGUGAUGAAGGUAUACUUUAGUGUAUCGUCACCAUCAUGUCCUCCAAUGACAUAGUAGAGUUUGGACAUAGCCGAAUAGUGCUUUUCCAGAUCCUUCAUUUUUAAUGAACAACAUUUUCGAUCAAAGAACUCUUGUUUCUGCUGUCUUAUGACAAGGUCAUAACUCCCAAGGAACUGGUUAUGGAGGAUUGUUACUGCUGCUGAUGGAGUUGGCAGUGCGACAAAUUGAAGCCUGGUGUACUCAGGCUGAGACUGAAACCAAUCUCUUAAGCUUCCGGUAAAUCUUGUGACAAAUUCGGCAAGGACCUUUUUGAGUGUGGCCCCUUCAAGGGUCAUCUGAAGAUCAAUCCAUGCCAAGAAUUCGGAAAACUUGUCCUUCCAUCUCGAUGGGGGUAGGUCAUCAAAAGUGAACCAAGGUCCCGUGCUAGCUGGUUUUGACCUUGGGUUUGGAGCUCCAGUGGGAGCAAAGAAUAACUGUGCAUCCUCAUCCUCAGGUUCCACUAUUUCUGGACUGGGAUCAGUAGCAGAAGUGUUCAUGAGAAUCUCAGUGAUGUUCGCCAUCUCUGAAGUAUUUGAAGAGGAUUCUGAAUCAUACAGACUGAUAAGAGAUUGCUCUGGUAUUUUUUCUUUACAGGCUAGAGGAGGAGGAGAGGUUUUCUUUUCUAGGUUUUUUGAGUGUUUUGGGUAAAGAUGAGAGAAAGUGUCAAAUGGCUGAUAAAGGGUUUCUUGUGGUUGUUCUGGUUGUGAAAGAAAAGGGAAUGAAGAAUAGUACGAAGGAGCAAUAGCAGAUGAUGUGGAGGCUGCUGAAGUAAAGGAUGGAAUUAUGGUAAACUGGUCUCUCCGAAUAUCAUGCUCAAUUUGAUCUAUUUGUUUCUUCAACCGUGUGAUCUCUUUUUCCUUUUGCACAAAGGCGGGAGUAAUGGGCUGAGGUAUCCGAAGCUCUCUAUCCAGAGCUUGAUACUUUGCAAUGAGCAAUGAAUGGAGCUGGAGUACUUCUUGUGAGAAAGUAUCCAACUUAUGAUCCAGUUUUUGAGCUAGGUGUAAAGCUUGGUCCAGUUUCCCAUCUAUCUUUUUUAGAUAAGUAUUCUGGACGAUCAAGUUGGAGAUUUGCCAGUUUAGCACCUCUUAUGGAGGUGUCAGGGGCUCUGUAGAUCCAGAGGGAGAAAUCCUUGAAGGAAGAAUUUCUGAUCUCUUAUUCUCCAUUUUCCCUAAAGGAGGGAAAUCCUCUGGCUGGAAUAUGUACCACCCUUGAAUUAAUGGUUGUACCACUGGUAGAUCUGGCUGGAGCUCCUUUCUGCAGGUUGCAGAAGGGGCUUUCCCAAAUUCGAGACCGAGUUGGGCCAACAGUACCUUGAAUUCAUCGAAAGAGAUAUCAAGGAUUGUUUUUCCUUCUUUUGCAAGGAGUUUGAUAGCCUCAUCAAACAUUGGGAGUGGUGUUUUGCUCUUCUGUUGCUUCUGGGAACCAUCUGGAUCCCGGUCAUCCGGCUUCGAUCUUAUUUCUAAACAUGGAGUGUCCGGUGACAUAUUUCGAGGAUUCUUCUUUGGAUGCCGAAAGCAAGGUUCAAUAUAGUCUAAGUUAUCAUCACAAGUGCAUCCCGGACGGUACAUCUUUGGGGCAACAUCCCAGACAAAGUGUCCUUUGACCUGGGCGGCGUAGAUCUGGUGUCCAAAGGACUGGAAUGAAUGAAUAGGGAUCUUUUCCUUUGGCCUUGAUAUUGGUUGUAUCAUGGAUGCUUGAAAAAUGGAUGGAGCUGAAGAAGUUUCUCGAGUCUUUGUGAAGAUCGUUUUAACAGUCCCGUCUCUUUGUUGGAUAAAAAGAGGGUUUGUAGCUUGAACAAGAUUAGUUUGGGAUGCCUGAAGCUUCUUAUAGUUAGUGACCCAUUCUGUUGGGAUCAGCUUUUGUAGAUCUUCUUUUUCCAGUUGCCUAGGAGCCUGGACAAUAGUAGGGAUCUGGCCAGAGUCAGCCAUAAUGUACAACGCAUCAGAGGAGGCUUGAAAGCCUGGGAUCUGUAGAUUCAAUGCAUGAUCCUGUAGUCUAUAGACUAUCUGAUGGUGUAGGGUUGCAGAGAGAGCGUUAUCGACUUGAUUCGCUCCUGUUAUCUGGACUUGAACUUUUAGUGUAGUGGAAAGAUAAGGAUCAUUGAGGGAUAGAUUGAAAUUAGGGAAGAAGGUCAAGACAACACUUCCUGUGUUGAGUGUCGUGACGAUCGUUCCGAUCACUGCAUACUCAUACUUGAGGUAUCUUGUGUCCAGUAGCGACAUACGGGCUGUGACCGGUAGACCCAUCCUUCCAUGAUAGGAUAGGACUAGUCUAACUGCUCCAAGAUAGAGGUGUGUAUAGCCCUGUUUUCUCCAUUGUUCUAUAAAGGAGGUUGGGAUUUCGAGAGUAACGUACUGCUCCUGUGUAGUAGCAGUGAGAGAACAUUGAGAAAGGGAAGAAGAUUGAACAUAUUCCUUUGCAGAAAUGGGUUGUUUAUGGAUAAUCUGGUUAAAGGUUUUUCUGACAAAGUUUUGUUUUUUAAAGAUAUUGUAUGGGUUCAUAAUAGGUACAAGGGUGUUUUCUAUUUGAACAUUCUCAGGUAUAUGAGAAAUUUCUACAUGAUGGUCUAUCUUGUUGGAUACGGUUUUCUUACAUGAAGGAGAGAGUUGCAGGGUUGAAGUGUGGGUUGUGAUUUCUGAAGUCAUUGUGGUUGGAUUUCUCUUCUCUGUCACCAAGGCUCUGAUACCAAAGGGAGCCGAGAGCUGUUCAUGGUAUAGUGCUCAUGCUGUAAACUCAAGGCAUGUAAGUAUCCUCAAGCUAAGACCACAAAGAGGCACCACGCCAUGGGGGUCUUUCUGCUCUUUUGGACUUCGAUAGCCGAGUUAGCCCUUUUGGAUCAUACCAGAAACAGAUCGUAGCAACUAAUAGUUAUAUAUAUAUAUAUAUAUAUAUAUAUAUAUAUAUAUAUAUAUAUAUAUUGAGUUUAUACACUAUACUAAAUACAAAAUAAUAAAGACACUAAUAUAAUUAAAAUUAAAAAGUCUAAAGCAUAAUUUCUCUUAUAAAAAUAACUAAUAGUGGUCUCCUCAAAAAAUUGAAUUUUUUAAGCAAUGAGCAAUUCUAACAAACACAUUUUACUUUUUAUGUAAGAAAACAAAUAAAUGAUAUAAGAAAAAAAUGAAAAUAAACACCCUGAAAAUUUUUAAGAAACUAAAUAUUGAAAAAAUUAAUUUUAGGUGGUUUAUAAAACUAAACAAAAUCAUCUAAUGUUUAAGUGAUUUCAACUUUUUAAUUUAAAAUGAGCAGUUGAGAUUUUAUUAUCUAAUAAACUUAUGGCUAAUUUUAAUUAAGAUUUAAGCCAUUGAUUUAAAAUUAAAAAUUAAAGAUCAUUCGAAUAUUAAUUAUCAUAUUUAUUCACGUUUAAGAGGAUUGCAUUUUAAUUAUAUCUAUCUAUUAUUUAUACUAGUUUUUUAUGAAUAUAUUUUGUGCAUGAUUAAUUUAUUACAUAAGUUCAGCCGCAAUUAUUUAUUGAUUAGAUAAACAUUAAUUAGGAAGUAGUUUGAGAGGGCAAAAAGAGUGAGUUCUCUAGCAACACGAAAGAUAAGAAUUAAAAAUUAUAUAUAAUAUUGAUAGAAAUUUGGAUUGAUAAGCAAGAACUUCAAAUGACAGAAGUUGGAAUUUAAGUACAAGAUAUGCAAUUAAUUAGCAGUGGCUUGCUGCAUUUAUGAAUUUAGCCUGAAGGUGUAUGUUCAUAUCUCAAUUUAAGUAACCUUUUAAAUUGGAGUUCUCUUUUUUUGUAACUUAGAAAAGAAAUUAGCAAUGCUGGUUAAUUUAGUUAAUUUUCUUUAUUACAUUUUUCUUAGAACAACUGCCCCUAACUCCUUCCAAGGAGACACAUGUUCACGUGACAUGCACAAAUUAAGAACAAAGUACAUGUAGUUACAGAUGCACUGAGUUUACAAAUAAGACUGAAAAGUAAAGGGAACUGAGUUAAAACAUUUUGUAGCUUAGACAAACUUGCCAAGGAAUUCAUCAACCGUAGUGUAUUUCACCUCAGGAUAAAGCUCAGAAGCCUCCACUCCAGAAGAAUCCUCAAUCUCAUAGUUUGUAGCAUCUCCCUUCACCAUUGCAGAGUGGAUAAGAGCCAGCAUCAGGUUUAGAGGAGAAGGAGCUUCUGCACAAACACUUAAAUUUAUCAAGUCAAAAUAUUAAAUCCAAACUAACUUCUUUCUCUUAAAAAAUAAAAAAAAAAAAAAAAAAAAAAAUUGGAUCUUCGUAUAGUCGGGGUUUCAAUCAAUAAUUGAGUAGCACUGGUGACAGUUUCAGUACUAUUGCACCAAAUUUCACUGUUAAUGUAAAAUGAUCCUAAUAGUAAAAAUUAGUAUUCUUGACCUUGAAUUUUCUGUAGAGUUUGUUCUUCUGGAAUAUAGAUCUUAUGAAGGGUGUUGCCAAUCUUCUUCUCCCAUAUGGCGACAAUCUCAUUGAAGGACAAAACAUUGGCGGGAGGCCUCAUAUACAAGAUCUUGUUCAAGGUUCUCGGGUCAUCCACUGCUUUUAUGGUGAAAGCUGCAAUAUCUUCUUCCGCUACUGUAAUUGCUGAAAACAUGUAUGUAGAUUUCUGUAAAACAAACUAGCCAGAAACAGAUAGAAAAACAAGAAGGUUUCUGUGUUGUGAGUAACAUUAUACUUUUGGGAUUGCCAUCUCCAAAGAUGACAACAUUGUCUCUGGGAGGAACAUGUGCAUUUGGUUGUCCCAAACUAGGCAGGUAGUACCCAGCAAAUCCAUUGGACACAGUAUAAGUGUAGGGAAUCCGUUCAGCCUCAAUAGCUCUCCUGAUCUUAGCCUUAAGCCCAAAAAAACUUGCAGCAGGUUCCACUGCAUGGCUCCUAUCAACAUCGCCUCCGAAUUCUGACGGCAGGAAUCUCUAAAUCCAACCAAUAUUUGACAGUGUCAACUGAUGGAGUAGCCAGUGGUAAAAAGAGAAGGUGGCAUAGGAAUAUAUACCUUGACAUUUCCUGCUUCCUUUAUUGCUGCAAUAAUCUUGACUUGCUCAGCUAUAUGCAAUCCUCCUACCGUGGAGAUUACAACUUCUACUUGCUUGAUUGCCUUCACCAAGCUCUCAUGAUCAUGAAUAUCUCCCUAUCAAAACCCACAGAUCAUGUUAAAGGUAACUACAAAGACUAGUUAAUUACGCCACAAAAAAGAAAAAGGUUCCUGUUAUAUAUAUAUAUGUUAUAAAUGAUUAAUUUCAGAUACUUACAUAUAUCAGAGUUACUCCAUAGCUCUUGAAACUCUCAAUGAUUUCAGACCUUUCAGGAUUAGAAACUGCAGUUUCUCUUACCAAUGCAAACGUUUGGUGACCCAGUUUAGCACUUGUCUUUACUAUGAAUUUUCCGAUAUGUCCUGUCCCUCCAAUGACCAAAAUCUUGCUUUUCUCGGCCAUGGAAAAUAAUUUUUUAAAAGAAAGCUAAACUAAGCAGUGGAAUUUAGCUAGUAAUAUUAGAGCUACAUUUUGGUGCUUGUUUGGAGCUGGUUUAUAUACAAAGAAAGGGAAAGAAAAAGUCCUAAGUUCAGAGGUAAUAGACUAAUUAAUAAAGAUUUGUGUCAGCGAACCAAGCAUCAAUGAACAUAAAUUAAGUAAUACAUUAGUUAUUCUAAGAAUUGUCUAAACUUAUCUGUGUUGAACAGAUUGUAUAGCUUGACUUCUGACUUGCAUAUUAAAAUCAAAAGAAUCUUUAAAAUGAUACUACCUCAUCUGAUCAGUUCUACUUCUCAUAUUCCUAGCGCUAAAAAGAAUUGUCUUGUUUCUUUUCUCUUCAAUUUUGUAUUUCUGUUUGGCUGUUAGCUAUCACUUAGUUAAAUCAUUGUCAAAUGUCAACUAAUGGAACCCUAACCAAAAUGACAUCCAUCAUCACAAACUCUACUUAUUUACGUUCCUGAAAGGUGCCUGAAGCAGGUGUCAGAUUUGACUAAUGAACCAAGUUUCAGCUUUGCAUUUUCAGAUUGACUAAAACCUAUACUCUAUCUAAUGAUAUAUAUCCUAAUUGAAUCAUUAAACUCAAUCAUUCUAUUAACUGAUGAGGGAAUAUUAUAGAAAUCAGGAAACGGAUGGAGUGGAUGGGUUAAUGAAGGCUUCACCAGUUUAAAAGGCCAAUGACAGAGCUAAAGAUGGGACAAUUGGAAGGCAAUAAAACUAGUGAUUCCAGAAAGUCUAUUUGACAUCAAUUCAAGAGGGGAAUUACAAUAUGACGUCCCCAUGAAGCCAUUAUAUCUAAAUAUUGAAUGUCAACUUGCUUUUAAGGGACAACUUUCUAUAAAUAAUAUGCGAGAUGCAAGUUCUCUCUUUAAAGAAGGAUUUGGACUUGAAAACUGCCAGGUUUCGCUGAUGAUUAUUUACUGGAAGGAAAGAGAUCGACUCCUCGAGUAUUAAUGACUUUUACUAGCUGCAGAGCUGGGGAAUUACUUACAAAAUGGAGAAUACAAAGAAGUGAAAAAUUUUAGGAUGUAAUUUCUUUAUUAUUCGUGUUUAUUGGUUGAUGUACCAAGUGAAGAAUUACAAAAUUUUUUUUCCUAGUUUUCCCUUCUACAAUUGCUGUGUUAAAUCGCAACCAUAAAGGCGUCAGGCAUCAUCUAGAAUUCUGAUGAUGCCAUAAUUCACAAAGGAAAAGGAAAUGCAAUCAGCCCAACAGACUGACAAAUCGUAAGAGACGAGAACGCUGCCAAAGAAAUACACUAGUGCUUUUAGGUGCAUUUUAACAGUCAAACAUAUACCAGAUUGUUUUUGCAUCUUUAAGGCUGUGGCUGCAAUGGAAGUUACUUCAGGAAAGCAUCAUGGCUCCAGAAAUUUAUGCAUCUCUAGAGGGAAACUCUUAUUUUUGCAAACAUAAUCGAGCAAUGUUUCUCCUACCAGAUUAUGAUUUGGAACACAAAAAUGACAUACAUGAACACAUAUACCAUUGGUCGUAGAUUAAGCUAACAAUAUAAAGAAAGUGGAAGUGGUUGAAUAGCAGCUAAUAGAUGAAGUAUCAUGGUUAACGAAGUAAAUGCUCAGCAUAAACCAUACAAAGAAAGGGCAAGUAGUUUUAACAAAAGUUGGCACAUAGCCAAUAUAAACCAUGCAAUGCUCAGUGCAUUAUAAACAAGAACUCAUGCAAAACCCUUGUUAUGCUGUUGCUUCAAAUCUCAGGACCAAGUUCUAUUCUACUUCGUUUUCUAUGCUUCUGACCGUCAUUGUGAUGUUUAUUCUUGUUAUGAUCCUUGUUCUUAUUCUUGUGCAUUCUGUGCUUCAUUUCCUUAUCUUUUGUAGAGUCAUCCGUUGCCUUCAUUGCUGGAAUAGGCAUUCCUUUCUCUACCUGUUAACAGCAGACCAACCAUAAAUUUCCACUUUUAGAAAAUUAAACAUUUCUAUACGCCUACCCAUUACAAAUUAACAAAUCAAAACUAAGACUUCAGUCAUAGAAUUCCUUGUGCCAAUCUUAAGCCCAAAAGGGAUUAGCAAAAAAUAAUGUCCGCAAUCUCUUAUUUGGAUGAAUAUCCAACAAUUGUACAACGUUUGUGCUUUAUCCCAAAACUAUAGAGAGAUGCAAAAAUUUUCAUUGAACUGAUAUUCUACACAAACAGCAGGUACUGUAAGUUCUAAUACCAUUUGAAAGAUUCAAAGAAAAUAACAUAAUGAAGAAGGGAAAAAGCUAUUUCUUACAGAAGAUAGAUCAAUAGGAGUAGAGUCUCUCAUCCAAAAGGCUUCCCUGAGUACGCCUAAAUCAAAAGUAUGUAUGUGUGCUUUUCCCUGUCUCAUAUAUGGGGUAUUAUGGAAGAGCUGAUCCAAUUCCAUCCCUUCACCUUUCCUGAUUUCCGUGUCACCCACCACAUUCUGGAUGUAAUGAGUCUGAGAUACUGACAAAGGGAGUGACCUCUUGCAAAAAAAUUCAUGGUGAGGCCAAAGCUUGAACUGAUUUACGAGAUCAACAGCGCCACAAAGCUCCUUCAGCCCUUAUUAUUUCAGACGUAGCCUUGUCAAAAACAAUUAAACAGCAAUGAAAUAUUCUUCUCUGUAUAAAAGAAAAACAAAAAAGACAGUACUCCACAGAAAGAACGAAAUAAUAAUAAAUUUUGUAAAGGGAAAACUUGGUUGGAAGGCCAUUUUAUUUGCAUAUACGGCAAAUCAAAUGCCUAAUUAUCGAGCAAAAACAUGUUUCUUAUGAAUUUUCAUCCUUCUUCCAAUUAUUCAAUGUAAUUUUGCUUUAAUCUGCGACCAACACUGCUUCCAGUAAACUAUUACCAUGUCAUUGAAGCAAACUCGUAAGAAUGAGUUAAAGAAGCAAAUACACAUGAAACAGGGAAUUUAAAUGUUUGAGUAAUUUCCUUCUCAAUACGCUUCCAAGUGAUCAUCUCAUGACCAGAAGGAUCAGUGAACAUCUAAUUGAUAUAUCACUGUGUUUAAACCUCAUGAACACUUCUAACAUGAGGCUCCAAUAGGCAGUGAAUACAAAAAUAAGACUGAAAUACAACAAAAUUUUUUGUACAACCAGAAUACAAAUCUUAUCGCAUACUGGAUAUGACUGAAAACAUCCAGCAAGAUUGAAAAAGUCAAAUUUAUGGCCUUGGAUACAGCUGUGAAGGGGGAAAAAAGAAAAAAAAGAAAAAAAAAAAGAUAAAGGAAGAAGAAGAAGAGCAGGAAAAGGAGAAAGAGAGAGAGGUGCAGGAUGAUAGCUUACCCCAAGAAAAAGGGGAAAAAGAUUUAUUUCCAUCUCAAUUCUUAGGUGUCCAGAAAAAUGGAGAAAAUAGCAGCUUUGGGAUGAAAAUCUGAGUAAUUAUUUAGUCAUAUAUCAUGUAAUUCAAGAGUCUAAAGAGACUGAGCAAAGAAUAGGCAUGUUUCAAGAAGACUAGUGACAGAAAGAAUUCAGAAGUUGUUUAACCUGCCAAUAAACUUCAAAAAGAAGAUACAGAUUGCAUUAUUUCCCCGUUCAAAGGCGUGACAAACCUCCAUUCUAAAGCACAAUUUACAAUACAGAAAACCCUUUCUUUAUGUGUUCCCUUCUCCAGGUUAUCAAAGUCUCAUACUUAGUUAACAAAAU